rnacentral:lncRNA from 1 species
UUCCCUAAAUCUAGACUCAUAAAUAUUCUUACUAAUAUUUUCUCUAGAAUUUUUGGUUCAGCCAAUUAGUACAGUUUAUUAGUUAAAAUUUCCCCCGUUACACAGCUCAACUGAUCUGACCUCUGUUAACUACGAAUUGAAUUUCUCUUAGUACACAAUUCAAAUAACCAUGAAACCUAUUUCAUUUAAAACUAGACUCAAUAAGGAAUUUAGGAAUAUAAACUAUAUUUCUUAAUUUGUUUUGUAGAAUUUUUAAUGAUUUUUCAAAGUUGGAACAGGGGAUCAUAUAGUCAUUCUGCACAAGUCACACACAAUUGUAAAUAUCUCAAAAUAUAGAAUUCCUUUGCUUGCUCUGUUUCUUUUAUAUGAAAAUAGACUCAUUAAGAUUUAAUUUCACAUCUCAUUCAACCUCGAAUUAAAUUUCUUCUAUUUUUGAUGAUUUUUAAAAAUCACAUCACUGAUACUGUCCAAAACAGUUUUAAUGCUAAUUUCACUCUUUCACACAUUCUUUGUACUAACCUCAUUUUAACUUAUAUAUAUAUCACAAAUCAUUUUCACUACAUUUCACACAUCACAAGUAUAGGCCCAUAACUACAAUGUCACCACAAAGCCAUCCCGUUGAACAAUUUGGAUUAAUCCUCGAUACUUGACGGUUUCAGCACACAGCCCCACAAUCAUAUUUCAUUUAAUUCGGCUCUCUUGUACACAUGGUGAACACUUAGUACCACUCAUGCAACCUAGACGAUUUGUCUCGUAGCUCUCUUGUCUACAUGGUGUCCUUCACUUGGAAUCACGCAUGCGACCUAGCUACAUUUAUCUCUCACGUAGCUCUCUUGUCUACAUGGGAUACAUCCCGUAUCACACAUGUGACCUAGCUACUACAUAGUAUCUCGUAGCUUUCUUAUACACAUGAUGUGCACUCGGCACCAUACAUGUGACCUAGCUACGCCCCCUCUAUUUUAUUCGAUCUUUCCGAAUGUUCAACCGGGAUCUCUCUCUAUUACUUAUUUCCAUUCUUCCAAUAGUCGAUUUAUACUUCAACAUCAUCUAAUAUAUAUAAUAGGCUGAAAUAUAAGAAUGUAAAUGAAAUUAAUGUAUUAUUUACGUACAAACUUACCUCGGUGCAAAAUAUGGGAAUUUUGCAAUUUAGUCCAAAACUUUCUCCUUCCCCCGUUCGAGGUCGAUUCCACGCUUUUCUUGAUCUAUAACAACAUAUUUAGUUCAUUUAACAAUCGAACUAUUUAUUUUAAUUCAAAAAUCACAUUAUACAAAAAUUACAUUUUUGCCCCCUAACUUUUACAAAAUUAUGAUUUUUCCCCAAGGCUCAGAAAUUUAAUUUCAGCCCUUAUUCUUAUGUUUAAUGACCUACUGAUCAUUUUUCUCUUCUAUGGAAACAUCAAAUUCUCACUCUAACACAUAGUUAUGAAUAAUAGGUAUUUUUAUCGAUUAUGCUGUUUUGCUCGUUUUCGUUAAAAAUCGCUUAGAAAAGAUCGUUCUCCUAACUUCAAACAUUCAUAUUCUACCAUCAAACAACACAAUACAUGCCUAUCAUUCAUGGGUAAAUUUUUAAGCAUACACCCUAACUCGAAAUAAUGGUAGAAAUAAGUAAAUCGAGCUACGAAGAUUUCAAAAAUGUGAAGAACAUUAAAAACGGGGCUUGAAAUCACUUACUAUGAAGCUUGAAAAUUGAAGAAACCCUAGCUAUGGAGGAGAGAAAAUUUCGGCAGCAACUAGUGAAGAUGAUGACCAAUUUUGUGUUAUUUUUCCCAUUUUAUUUCAUUUAAUAUACAAAUUACCAAAAUGCCCUUACUACUAAACUUUCCACAAAUUCCCUCCAUGUCCAACUUUUGUCCAUAACUUAGGAAUGGGUCAAAUUGCUAUUUAAGACCUCCUAGUUAAUAUCCCAAAACAAUUUCAUACUAAAAACUUCUAAAACACAAGUUUUACAAUUUAUUCGAUUUAGUCCCUAAUCUCAACUUAAGCGCUCAAUGCAUAGAAUUUCAUCACGAAAUUUUCACGAAAUCAUGAAAUCAUAUCAUAAACCCCAAAAUAAUUAUAAAACAAUUAUUUCUAUCUCAGAUUUGUGGUCACGAAACCACUAUUCUGAUUAGGCCCUAAUUCGGGUUGUCACAAUUCUCCCCCCUUUAGAGAUUUUCGUCCCCAAAAAUCUUACCGGUAAAGAGGUUUGGGUACUGUUUCCUCAUAGCUUCCUCAGGUUCCCACGUAGCCUCUUCUAUCCCAUGUCUGUGCCACAAUACUUUCACUAAGGCUAUACUUUUAUUUCUUAACUGUUUAAUUUCUCGAGCCAAAAUCUUUAUUGGUUCCUCCUCAUAGGUCAUAUCCGGUCGAAUCUCAAUUUCUGUUGGAGAAAUCACAUGUGAAGGAUCAUAACGAUAACGUCGCAACAUUGAUACAUGAAACACGUUAUGAAUUCUUUCUAACUCUGUCGGUAAGGCCAACCGAUAUGCCACUGGCCCAAUCUUCUCACUACUUUAGCCAUUUACUUUUACUGCAAUUUAAAUUUUAUUCUAAUUUUUAUUACUAAUUCUUCUUUUUCCCUUUUUCUGACAGGUUCUUAUAGUUUAUGACUAGAAGAAACCCUUCAGGACCAUUACUUUUUGACAGUGAGAUCGAUCGCACAAUUCGCAGAAACCAAAGAGAAAUAAGGCAAAGCUUAAGAUACACAGAGAACGAGAAAGAGGACGAUAUUCAAACCACAACUAACGAGAUGGCUGAAAAUCAAGAAAACCUGAUACCUCCUGCGAUUGCUGUUAAUCUAAUAAAUCAGAAUCCUGCUUCGCGCACUAUGUAUGAUUAUGCUUAACCGUCUUUAACAGGAACUGAAUCGAGCAUAGUUAGGCCUGCUGUAGCUGCAAAUACUUUUGAACUGAAACUUAACACAAUUCAAAUGAUAUAGCAAUUUGUUUAGUUUGAUGGUUUACAGGACGAGGAUCCCAACGCUCACUUAGCAAACUUUUUAGAACUAUGUGAUACAUUUAAAAUUAAUGGCAUUUCUGAUGAUGCCAUUCGCCUUCGGUUAUUCCCUUUUUCAUUAAAAACAAAGCUAAACAGUGGUUGAAUUCUUUACUGCGGGGGUCAAUCACUACUUGGGAACAAAUGACUGAAAAGUUCUUAUUAAAAUAUUUUUCGCUGGCUAAAAUGGCUAAAUUACGUAAUUAUAUCUCUUCUUUUGUACAAAUGGAUUUAGAAACACUCUACGAUGCAUGGGAGAGAUAUAAGGACCUUUUGCUAAGAUGCCCUCACCAUGGGUUACCACUCUGGCUAUAGGUUCAAACUUUUCAUAAUGGCCUAAAUCCUUCGACUCGACAAAUGGUUGACGCAGCUGCUGGUGGAACCAUCAAUAAUAAAACAGCUGAUGAUGCCUAUGAAUUUAAUCCAAGGUAGCCUGCCAAGCAACACUGAAUCUAAUCCAAGGAAGCAACUCAACGCAAUUUCCAUUCAAGAUGAGGAAGGGCUAGUGGCAAAACCAAGGCCAGAACUAGUGGUAAGCGAAGGUAAGAAUGAGGUAGGCCAAAACGAACAAAAAUCGGUAAGUCCAGAAUAUAAACUCGUGUGCUAUACCCCAAUGCGACAAGGAAAGACCGCUCAGGUGAAAAUUUUGGUAAAUUCCUUAAACUUUUAAAGAAACUACAUAAUAACUUACCGUUUAUUGAAGCACUUUCACAGAUGCCAAACACAAUCAAAUUGUUAAAGGAGCUUCUGGCAAAUAAACGAAAGUUAGAUGAAAGGUCGCAUGUGGAGCUGAACGCUGUUUGCUCAUCCAUUCUUCAGAAUAAGCUACCCAACAAACUAAAAGAUCCAAGGAGUUUUACGAUUCCUUAUUUAGUUGGUAGUUUAGAUGUUAAUAAUGCGUUGGCUGAUCUAAGGGCUAGUAUCAAUGUUAUGCCUUACAAAUUGUUUAAGCAACUAGGUCUAGGGAAACCCAAACAAACUAGGAUGAGCAUUCAAUUAGCAGAUAAAACUGUCAGAUUUCCUAGGGGUAUUAUUGAAGACGUACUCGUUAAAAUUGACAAAUUUAUAUUCCCAUUUGAUUUUUUUUGUUUUAGACAUAGAAGAGGAUAGUAACGUUCCUUUAAUUUUGGGAAAGCCCUUUUUAGCAACUGUUAGAACAAUUAUUGACGUUGGCAUAGGUGAACUCACACUUCGUGUAGGAGACGAAACAAUCACCCUUCAAGCUCGCAACCCGAACAACACAUCAAAAAUUGAAGGUAAUUGUACAAAUUGUUCCAGUAAGACUGAUCAUAAGUUCGAAGGACACACAUGAGCCAUGUUCAAUCCACAACAAAGAAUCUACCCAUGAAGAACGAAGGUUACGAAUCAAGGAGUUAGAUGAAUGGCUAACAUUUAAACUGAGAAAACACGAUAAACUAAAACUACGUCAGAAUGAGUGCCUCACCAAAUUAACUUAAGGUUGGAGAUAAAGUUUCAUUAGAUGCCGCAGAUCCUCAUUGACACUGCCAAACCGAAUGAAGAAAUUCCUCUUACGGUACUUAGCAUUUUCCCAUUUGGUACAGUCGAGGUAAGUCAUCCCAAAUUCGGCACCUUCGGCACCUUUAAGGUAAACAAUACCCGCCUAAAACCUUAUUUUGAUGGGAUUCAUAGCAGGAAUGAGGAAUAUAAACUCCUCGAACCACCAUGACCAUUCACCAGAAAGGUAAGUCGAGCUUAGACUAUAAAUAAAUGCUUCUCGGGAGGUAACCUGAGCACUAAAAAUAUUAAUUUCUUUAAAUUUUAGUUUUAACAUCUAACAUACUAACCGACUCAUGGAACGUAGGCUUUCUAAAGCACACACGGCCAGGCACACGGGCGUGCCUUAGGCCGUGUGAAAAUAGGGUGAAAUUUUCCCCAACACGGGAUGUGAUAAGUCACCACGACGUGCAUUAGGACCGUGGGCGAAUCUGCCAAAACAAUGCGGGUGUGUGACACGCCAGUGUCAUAGAAACGUGGUUAAACCUGAGAAAAUAGCACGGGCAUUCGCCAUGCCCGUGUCUAAAACCCGUGGCCGAACUUUUCAAAUUAACAUCGGCGUGGGCCUACAUACACAGGCUUGGGAGAAGCGAUCGAAGACAGACACGGCCGUGUGCACCCACAUGCCCAAGGAACACGGGCAUGGGCCAAAUGUCAGACGCGCCCAAACUCAAAAUUCACGAAUCACACGGGCAAAAAUUGGGGAACACGGGCGUGUCCUCUGGCUGUGUGUCUCAAAAUCUAUAAAUACCCUUCACUAUUCAUCAUCUUCUUCACCCAAAAUCCCUAACCCUAGCCGCUGCAAGUCCACAUGGCCUCUCUGCCAUGGCCAUGCGCCGCAUCCAACUCCAUUUUCGACACCCAUUCUCAUCCUUUUAGCAUUAGUUUACUCUUUUCUCUCUAUUUCCUUCAUCCCUUUUAAUAAUUCUAUGAUUCUUAUGGUUUUAUUUGGCAUAUUUUUUAUUUUUUUUCAUAGUUCUCACUAUAGUCAUGCUUAUCGUUUAUUCUUUGCCAUUUUAGUCAAUGCUUUCUGAUACAUUCAUUCUUUUCGUGUGUUCCCAUAAGAGUCUAGUUCAGUCAUUUUAUUUUGAAAAUAAUCAUGCUUUUAUUAUGUCAAUUGCUAUAUAAACUUCUAUCAUUUAGAUUAAACUACUGAGUAUUAUUGGUUGGACUGGUUAGUUUAACUAUAUUCAUGAUUACUUCUUAAGUUAAUUAUUUAUGUUAUAUUCUUUGUUCUUCUUGCAGGUAUACCAUCACAAGCUCACGUGGUAAGAAAACUGUCAUUCCCGCUUCGAAAAAGUAGAAAGAGGCGUCUUCCUCAGGCCCUACCGCGGAAAUUCACCACCCAUACCUCCAAUUUCCACCCGACAAUUAGGAGGAACUAUUCCAAAUUCUACGGGCCCAACCUUUAGGUGUGGGCCACUGCAUUGACUGGACAGUGCUUGAACAAGUCCAGUUGGCUGACAAUGUACGAGCACUCCUGACAACCGACCCAUGAGACCUCUUCUUUGCGAUCAUCGAGCCGACGUACCUUAAGCUCACACUUGAACUUUGCUCGACAUUCCAUGUUCAAGACGUCAUGACCAACUUUGAUGAUCCUGGAAUAGUCUAGUUCCGUCUCUGCGGUUUAGUCCGCUAGUUGAAUGUGCCCGAGUUGGGUAUAGCUUUGGGCUUGUACACAGAAGAGUUUAUGGAUUAGAACGACCUUGACACUCUCUGUCGCCAUAUUCACUACUUUUCCUCGAAGUGCUGGUAUGCUUUGGUCCCCAGUUCAGCCACUUACUACCCAAGCCACUCCAAGGCAUCGGCUCUCUCUCCCUCCUUGCGGUACCUACAUGCCAUCUUGGCACACACUUUAACAGGACGUCAAGAGAGCACCGGUAUCGUCAACACUCACAAUGCUUACUUUCUAUGGAGCAUGGCGAAUGGGCAUGUACUCGACCUCGCCUAUUUUAUUACCCUCGCCAUUCGCCACCAGACGGAGCGACAUCGAAGGGGGGUCAUCUCGACUGGCCCCUACGUGACUCGACUGGCACGGCACUUCGGGCUCCUCAACACAGCAGGCCAAUCAUCCUCCCUUACUCUUAUUGGCCAGAUGUCCCCACAAGGCAUCUCGAGCAUGUUCAGUAUGAGGAUGAUCAAGAAGCCCCGAAUAACCCACCCUCCUUAGUAUCGCCUCUCCCAAUCAGUCGAGGAGGGAGACCUUGAGAAUAUUACUGAUGAUGUCCCUCCACGUCAUGAGGACCUACCGUCUCAGCCACCACCACCCUCUCAUCCAGUUCAUACGGCGACUUCGUACGCUGACAUCUCUGAGCGCCUUACCCGAUUGAAGCAACAGUGUUUUCAGUGGUUCGAUAAUAUUGACGCUACUUUACAGCAAAUUUUUCAACACUUCCAGAUCUCAUCGCCACCCCCACCUCGAUAAAUAUUUAUAAUGAAGAUCAAACCUAGACUAACUAUUAUCACGAUGAAAAAGCAAGUACACCUAUCGAACAAUAGUAUAGUAAUGGCAAGACCGGAUAUCGUACCUAAGGGAACCAAAAGUACUAGUAAUAACUAUCUUUUUAUUAUCUAACCUAGAAAUAAAGAGGGGUUGUUUAUUAAACUAAUUAACUAAACUAAUUAACUAAUUAAACUAAAGUAAAGAGAAGAGUUGGAAAAAGACUUGAAGAAAAUUAAUUUGAUAAAAACGACACCCAAGGAGGAAUCCACCUAGAUUUCACUUGUUAUCUGACUCUAAACCAGAAGAUUUAUUCACUUGACUUGAUCCGUGAGACUCCCUAACCUAUGUUAUUAUCUCUUUCGAGACUAAUAAUAUCUAACCCUCGGUUUAAUUAAUCAAAAUUUCAUUCUUAAUUAAAACCCUUAGGGAAGCAGUAAAUCGAUCUAUGGACUCCCAUAUUAGGUUUCACCCUAAUCUGGCAAAAUCUCGUAACCCUAUUUCUAGGCGUUCGAUCAACUCCGCUUAAUUAUGCCAAAUCUACUCUUAGACAGGGACUUUUGCUCCUCUGCAUAAGCACAUCAAAUCAUGAAUUAAUACCUGGAAUAUUAACUCAAGCAUUAAGACACAUAAUUAAGAACAAGUCAAGUAUUUAUCAUAUAGUUCAGAUAAUAAUAACAAGAUCCAUCAUAGGUUUCAACCCCCUUAGGUAUCUAAGGGGUUUAGUUCAUAAUAAGAUAAGAGUACAUCUCAAAAGUAUGAAAAUAACAAAACAUAAAGAAAGCUCUAAAACCCCUGAAGGAAUUUUGAGAGAGAUCUUCAGUCUUGAAGUAGCUCCGGCUUUUGGGGUGGAUCGUCUGGCUUCCUUCAAGUAAUUCCUAGCGUGUGGUUCUGUAUUCCAGAGAAGUUCUGGAAGAGGGCCCCUUUCUAAGUCAUACUUAGGGUGUUUAUAUAGGCUUUGGAUUGGCUUUCUUCCUCCCUAAGUAUCAUUUUUCGUGUAAAAUACAACUCUUUGAGAAAAGGGACACGCCCGUGUGCCACGGCCGUGUGACGUGAUUACCACGUCGUGUUUGAUCCAUUAAUUUUCACAUGACCGUGUGGGUCAAUGGCCAGGCCAUGCGAAUCGUGAAAGCCCUUGGCCGACACCCUCGAAAGACACGAGUAUGUGAGCAGUUCGUGUGGAAAGGCUUAGGCCGUGUCAUCUUCUCGAUUUGGUCUGUUUUGUCCCUUUUUUAGCUCAUUUUUGGCUCCUUUUGACUCUUGGUGCUCUCGUAAGUACAAAACAUGAAAUAACCGAACUAAGAGUUCCAAAAUCCAAAAAUCUAGUGAUAAACAUCCAUAAAUAUGCUAAGUAUUUGGGGUAAAAAUAUGUAUAAUUUGGCAUUUAUCAAAUACACCCACACUUAAGCAUUUGCUUGUCCUCAAGCAAAACUUUCAUUUAUUGCUAUAAUUCCUUCCUUUCAAUCACACAAUCAUUACUGAUAAUGUUACAAACUAUUCCAUGGAAAAUCAUACAGUGAGAAUUCAACCAUAGGGGCAUUAAAAGCCUCAAACAAUCUAAAUCGAAUAUUUUGAUAAUAAAAUUAUAGGUAAUCUCCUUCCUCUAAGUAAUUGGCUUUAGUCCUAAAUAUACAAAAGAUGACAUCCUCACUAGCGAUCCACUCAAAUCACUCAAAGUGUUUAAAGUUUAAGAUUAAGCACUCGGUUGUCUAACAUGAGAAGUUAUUACCAUAGGCUUGCAUGAAAAUCAAAUCUCCACCACUUGUAAAUGAUAUGAUACACAAAUCAAAAGGUCUUUGUAUAGUUGUAACAGGGUUUAAGGGACGGGUAUAGAUACAAACUGAAGAGACAAAGGUUAAAAUCGAGAUAAUUUCAAUAUAUUACCCCACUAUCAAAAACUUAAUUAUUGAAUCACAAACAAAUAUCUAGAACUAUAUUACAUGAGCUCAUGACAACUUUAGCUUGCUGAGGAUUACAAUAACAAUACUGAGAGUUUUUUUUUGGUUUCAAGAACAAAACAAGUCAAUACAAUAUAAAAAUCAUACUUCAUGAUUCAGUAACAAAAAAUGGUGAACAUAGUGAGGUAACAAUAUUAAAUUUAAUCUCGAUAAAAAAAGUAAAUUAAUUAAGAGGAUUUCAACAAUAAUGGGUUAAUGGGUUAAUGAUAAGGGUUAAUCAAUAAAAAAGUUUAGUAGGCUCAAAAGAGGUUCACUAAGGGUUUAAUUAUGUGGGAAGGCUUUUUAUGGAAUAAGUGGGUUAAAUCCUAAGUGCCUUUAUCAUCUCAGUAUAUCAAAUCAUACGUGUGAUCUCGACAUGUAUAAUUGAAGAAAGUUCUAGAAUAACAGUUCAAUGUUGACACACUCAAACCACAAAAUAAGUGAGCAAGAAAGAAAGCUUAUAUGCUCAAAAAGCUCAAAAAUCUCACGAAAAAUUUGGGUUUGUGAUGUCAUUCCUGUAUACUUAAGAUUUCAAGAUAAUACCUCAAUUUAGGAAAGUAGUCUAAAAAUUUUAGUUAUCAAAAUAUCAACUUAUCAUGCUCAAUUCUCUAAUGUCCUAUAAUCAAAUGAUCAUGCAUAAUUCCCAUGAUCUAAUUCAUGACAUAUCAACAAUAAUUAUAGAUCAAUCAGAAUUCAUUCGAUUAAGAUUAUGAGAAAAUCACUUAAGCACAAAACCAAAUUCAGGGAUUUGAGAAUAAUGCAAAAAGUUAGGUUUCAUGUUCAUGUUCACCCCCCACACUUAAGAUGUACAUUGCCCUCAAUGUACAAAGAUAGAUUAAUCAAAAUAAAGAAAGUCAUAAGAGGGAAAGAGGUGAAACUCCCUGUUAUAUGGAUGCAGAGGUUGAUUCUGAGGCUGGAGUGUUUGGGGAAAGUGGUAGCUGCCACUGUUCUUGGCUAGAUGAAGAAAUUGGGUCAUUGAACAUGGCACUCGUUGGGUAUUGUCCCUAUUUGUUUCCUCAGUUCGUAAAAUAUUCCUAGCAACUUUGCUUGGAAUUCUGUAGAAUCAUGAAGAGCUUAUUAAGAGUUGGUGUGGAAGAGAGCGUAGUAGGAUUACUUGUUAGAAAUACCAGAAAAAAAUGAAGAAAGUAAAAUUUACUAAUAUAGAUAUGUCUUUCAAAAGAAAAUAAUAAGAUUGAAAUGAAAAUAAAAAAAGAAAAAGAAAAAUAGAGAUAAAAAUAAAAAGAUAGAAGGAUUCAAUGAUCCUCAUCAGUGGGGCCCUCAGUUGGUGGCGCUGGAGUGGCAAUGUGAAAGUGCUGGCACAGCUACUGCAUCAUGGCUUGCAUGUCGUCCAUCUGUCUAUCACAUCGCCGAUCUCGCUCGUGAAUCAUCUCGAACUGUUACUGCUCAAAGUGAGCGAGUCGGUCAGAAAGGUGUGCCAAUGAAAAAGCCGCAUGAACUGGUCGUUCCCCAGAUAGCGUGAUAGGAGGCUCCUCGUGCUGUGGUGGGACAUCAUCAGGAAUGUCCUCAAGAUCCUCCUCAUCAAUGGCAUGAGUGAGACGGUACUGAAGAGGAUCGGUCCCACGUCGGCGCUCAAUCAUCCUUAUGUGUAACAUAGUAGUGAUGCCCUGUGGGGACAUCUGACCUAUCAGUGUAAACGCUGAUGACUGGACCACAGUGUUGAGGAGGCCGAAGUGUCUGGCAAGGUGCGUCACGUAGGGGCCGAUAGAGAUUACUCCCUUCCAAUGCCGCUCGGUCAGAUGGCGAAUGGCGAAAGUAAUGAAAUAUGCCAAGUCAGUCACAUGUGCAUUCGCCAUGCACAAUAAAUAGUAGGCGUCGUGGGUGGUGACAACGCCGAUGCUCUCUCUCCUUCUGGUCAAAGUGUGUACCAAUAUGGCAUGGAGAUAUCGUAGGGAAGGGGGAGAGCUGAGGCCUUCGAGCGGCUGCGGUCAUAAGUGGAAGAGAGUGGUGCCAAAACCUUCCAGCACAAGAAGGGAGAAAUAUGGAUAUUGCGUGGUAGUGCAUUCAUGUCCUCCUCCUCCAUAAACUCAUCAACGUAAAUUCCCAAAGCAACUCCAAACUCUGGGACACUCAUCGCGUGAACUAGACCGCCUAAUCGGAAGUGAAUGGUGCCGGGGUUAUCAUUGUUCGUCAUCACCACCUGUAAAUGAAAAGUAGAGCAUAAUUCUAAAGUUAGCUCUAAAUAAGUGGGCUUGAUAAUAGCGAAGAACCGUUCCUAUAGGUCUAUGGACAGGAGGGCGUGGAUGGCAACAGCUAGCUGGACUUACUCUACGGCAGCCCAGUGAUGCAGAGACCUGUAGAGAAGGGUCGUGCGCGUAGUAUCUGAAAUAGCUCCUCCUGCGAAGCUUGUGGAAAUUUAAGGAAUGGGUGCCGAAAUUCAACUGUAGCACGUACCGAGGAAUAACCCGAUCCCCUAUGUCUCUUUGAGGAUGGGACCGCGACCUUCUUACCUCUCGAUGAUGACAUAAGGUACCAGAAAAUGUAGGAGCAUUGAUAUAGUAGUUUCAAGAUGUGGUAACAUUUAUCGAUAUCAAGCGAGAGGUGAAAAUUUUAUAUGAUUAUUCAAAAACAUAUACUGAGAUAAAAAAUGCAUGAUCGGUUAAGCAAGAAUCCUAGAACUAGUAUAUGCUAUUUAGUAGCUUAAAAAAUUUAAAUAUAGAAAAUACUAAAGCAAAUUCUUAACUUAUUCAGAACAAAUUGGUAACAGAAACAAUAUCUUUGUAAGGCAUAUAGAACACUAAUGUAGUAACACAAAUUGGAAAAACAAGGUUGACAAAGUGAACCAAAAUUGCUGUAAGGCGGCGCACGAGUGUGUUGAUGGCGAGCACGGGCGUGGGGCGUGAGUGUACAGUCGUGUGGAGGAAAAAUAGAGGGAAAAGUGAGGAUUGAUGCAGGGGGAGUGGAUUUGAGGGUGGUUUGGGGGUUGGGGAAGUGAGAAUCUAGGGAAUGGUGGUCGGAAUAAGGAUUAGGGAGUGGAGAAGGAUAGAUUUCAACUGGGGUUUUGAAAGAAGGAAGAAGAUGAACAGUGGUUUGCUUAUAUAAGGGAGAGUCACAAGGCCUAGGGCCACACCCGUGUACUCUGAGGGUGAGCCCGUGUUUUUCAAAUUUUACGAUUUAGGUCGUGCCCAGCUACUAUCCCACGCAUGUGUGUCUUGGGCGUGUGUGGCACAUGGCCAUGUCGCACGCCCGUGCCUAGCUUUGUUACCAUACCCGUGUAUUGUUGUCCACAGCUUAAAGGCAUAGGCGUGCCUCACACCCGUGUCAAAGAAACAGAAUCGAGCCUUGCCCUUGGCACGUCCGUGUUGUUUCAUUCCCACGCCCGAGUUCACCUAUGAAGUUCAUCCACGGCCAUUUCGCACAGCUGUGGGGAGUUUUUGCAUCCCGUGUUUGGGGAAAUCAUGUCCUGCUUUCACACGGCCGUAUAGCACGGCCGUGUCUCUUCCCCUGUUUUCCACGGCUUUAGACACUCCCGUGUUCCUGGCCGUGUGUGCUGAAAAACUUUGCUAUUCAAAGAUAAAGUUAAUGAUUUAACUUGUUAGAAUUUAAAAAUAAAGAAAUCAAAAUAUGUUAGUGCUCGGGUUGCCUCCUAAGAAGUGCUUAUUUAUAGUCUAAGCUCGACUUACCUCUCUAGUGAAUGGUCAGGGUGGUUCGAGGAGUUUAUACUCCUCAUUCCUGCUAUCAACCUCAUCAAAAUAGGGUUUUAAUCGGGUGUUGUUUACCUGAAAAGUGCCAAACUUUCGGUGAUUCACCUCCACCGUAUGGAAUGGAAAUAUACUGAGUACCGUAAGAGGGAUUUCCUCAUGCGGUGUGGUAGUGACAAUGUGGGGAUCUGCGGCAUCUAGUAAGACUUUAUCGCCAACCUUAAGUUGAUUAGGAGAGGUAUUGGGCUUGUUUUGGCGUAGUUUCGAUUUAUCAUGUGUUCUCGAUUUGUGUGCUCACCAUUCAUCUAUCUCCUCUAUCCGUAGGCUUCGUUCUUCAUGAACGUAUCCUUUAUCAUUUCCAGAACAUGGCUCAUGAAUGUCUUUGAAGCUCAAUUUCUACAAAGUCAUAUUGUCAAUUUUAGUAUAUUGGUGUGGACUAUUACCUUCAAUGUUCGAUGUAAUGUCAGAAUUAUGAGCUUUAAAGGUGAUCGUUUCAUCUCCCACACAAAGUGUAAGUUCACCUGUGCCAACAUCAAUAAUUGUUUUAGCAAUUGCUAAAAAGGGCCUCCCUAAAAUCAAAGGGGUGUUAUUAUCCUCCUCUAUGUCUAGAACAAUGAAAUCAAUGAGGAAUAUGAACUUAUAUCCUUUCACGAGUACAUCUUUAAUAAUACCCCUAGGAAAUCUUAUAGUUUUAUUUGCCAAUUGAAUGCUCAUCCUAGUUUGUUUAGGUUUCCCAAGAGCAAGUUGUUUAAACAUUUUGUAAGGCGUGACGUUAAUACUAGUCCCUAAAUCAGCUAAUGCAUGACUUAUAUCUAAACUACCAAUUAAACAAGGAAUUGUAAAACUCCCUGGAUCUUUCAAUUUGUGGGGUAGCUUAUUCUGUAGAAUAGCUGAGCAGACUGCGUUUAGCUCCACAUGUGAUGCUUCGUCCAACUUUCGCUUAUUUACUAAAAGCUCUUUCAAAAAUUUCAUUGCAUUUGGCAUUUGCGAAAAAGCUUCAAUAAACGGUAAGUUAAUAUGUAAUUUUUUCAAAAGUUUGAGGAAUUUACCGAAUUGUUCGUCCUUGUCACGUUAGUGUAUGGCACACGAGGUUCAUAUUUGACAGUCACUGGUUUGUUUGUAUUUUGAUCUACCUCAUCUCUCCUUUUUCUUACCACUGUUUCUUGCCUUGGUUCUAUUUUAGGCUCCACGACUCCUUCGUUAUUCUGGAUAUUAAUUGCGUUGAGCUAUUCCUGUGGGUUGGGUUCAGUGUUACUUGGUAAGCUACCUUGUGGUCGUUCGGAGAUUAGUUUGGAUAGUUAGCCUAUCUAAGUUUUGAGCCCUUGGAUCGAUGCUUGUUGAUUCUUAAGUGUUGUCUCGGUAUUUUGGAAACGGGCGUCUGACACUGAUAUGAAUUUUGAGAGCAUCUCUUCAAGGUUCAGUUUCUUCUCUUGUUGAUAAGGUGGCUGUUGAAAACCCUGAGGAUUUUGUGGCUUUUGAUUUCCUUGACCACCCUAGGAGAAAUUUGGGUGGUUCCUCCAACCUACAUUAUAAGUAUUACAGUAUGGGUUAUUUUGCGAUCUGAAGUUAUUGUUACCCAUAUAGUUGACUUGUUCCUCUUCGGUUAUGAGAUUGAAGGAUUGAUAUUCUGUAUGCACACCUCCUCCACUUGAGUCACACCUCAUUACUGGAUGUACCUACGUAGAACUAAGAAAACCAUCAAUCUUUUUAUUGAGAAGUUCUACCUGAUUUGACAGCAUAACAAUUGAGUCGACGUUAAAAACACCGACUAUUUUCGUUGGCUUAGUCCUCAUGACUUGCCACUGAUAAUUAUUCAGUGACAUCUCCUCUAUAAACUCAUAGGCAUCUUCCAGUGUUUUAUUGUUGAUGGUUCCGCCAGCAGCUGCGUCAACCAUUUGCCAAGUCGAAGGAUUCAGACCAUUGUGAAAUGUUUGUACUUGCAGCCAAAGUGGUAACCUAUGAUGAGGGCACCUUCUCAGUAAGUCCUUGUAUCUCUCCCAUGCAUCGUAAAGUGUUUCUAAAUCCAUCUGCACAAAAGAAGAGAUAUCAUUACUAAUUUAGCCAUUUUAGCCGGCGGAAAAUAUUUUAGUAAAAAUUUCUCGGUCAUUUGUUCCCAAGUAGUAAUUGACCCUCGUGGUAACGAGUUCAACCACUGUUUAGCUUUGUUCCUCAAUGAAAAAGGUAAUAACCAAAGACGAAUGGCAUCAUCAGAGACGCCAUUGAUUUUGAAUGUAUCGCAAAAUUCCAGGAAAUUUGCUAAGUGAGCGUUGGGAUCUUCAUCCUACAGACCAUCAAACUGAAAAAACUGCUGUAUCAUCUGAAUAGUGUUAGAUUUUAAUUCAAAAUUAUUUGCAGCUACAGCAGGUCUAACUAUGCUAGAUUCAGUUCCUGUUAGAAAAGGUUUAGCAUAAUCAUACAUAGUACGUGGAGCAGGAUUUUGAUUAGCUGUAAUUGCAGGAGGUAGCUGAUUGUCUUGGCUUUCAGCCAUCUCUUCAGUUGGGGGUUGAGUAUUGUCUUUUUGCUCGUUCUCCGUGUAUCUUAAGCUGCGCCUUAUUUCUCUUUGAUUUCUACGAACUGUACGAUCGAUUUCUUCGUCAAAAAGUAAUGGUCCCGACAGGUUUCUUCUAGUCAUAAACUAUAAAAACCUGCCAAGAGAAAGAAAAACUAACUUAAUAAAUAAUAAUAAUAAAAUUAAAUUGCAAGAAAAAUAAAUGGCUAAAGUAAUAAAAAUUUAGCAUUCCUAAUAUUUUAGUUCCCUAGCAACGGCGCCAAAAACUUGACCGCGUGAUUCGUAACAAUUAAUAAAUAUUUAUAAUGAAGAUCAAACCUAGACUAAAUAUUAUCACGACGAAAAGGCAAGCGCACCCAUCGAACAAUAGUAUAGUAAUUGCAAGAUCGGGAUAUUGUACCCAAGGGAACCAAAAGUACUAGUAAUAACUAUCUUUUUAUUAUCUAACCUAGAAAUAAAGAGGGGUUGUUUAUUAAACUAAUUAACUAAACUAAUUAACUAAUUAAACUAAAGUAAAGAGAAGAGUUGGAAAAAGACUUGAAGAAAAUUAAUUUUAUAAAGACGACACCUAAGGAGGAAUCCACCUAGAUUUCACUUGUUAUCUGACUCUGAACCAGAUGAUUUAUUCACUUGACUAGAUCCGUGAGACUCCCUAACCUAUGUUAUUAUCCCUUUCGAGACUAAUAGCGUCUAACCCUCAGUUGAAUUAAUCGAAAUUUCUUUCUUAAUUAAAACCCUUAGGGAAGCAGUAAAUCGAUCUAUGAACUCUCAUAUUAGGUUUCAACCUAAUCCGGCAAAAUCUCGUACCCCUAUUUCUAGGCGUUCGAUCAACUCUGCUUAAUUAUGCCAAAUCUACUCUUAGACAGGGACUUUUGCUCCUCUACAUAAGCACAUCAAAUCAUGAAUUAAUACCCGAAAUAUUAACUCAAGCAUUAAGACACAUAAUUAAGAACAAAUCAAGUAUUUAUCAUACAGUUUAGAUAAUAAUACAAGAUCCAUCAUAGGUUUCGACACCCUUAGGUAUCUAAGGGGUUUAGUUCAUAAUAAGAUAAGAGUACAUCUUAAAAGUAUGAAAAUAACAAAACAUAAAGAAAACUCUAAAACCCUUGAAGGAAUUUUGACAGAGAUCUUCAGUCUUGGAGUAGCUCCGGCUUUUAGGAUGGAUCGUCUGGCUUCCUUCAAGUAAUUCCUGGCAUGUGGUUCUAUAUUCCAGAGAAGUUCUGGAAGAGGGCCCCUUUCUAAGUCAUCUUAGGGUGUUUAUAUAGGCUUUGGAUUGGCUUUCUUCCUCCCUAAGUAUCCUUUUCCGUGUAAAAUACAACUCUUUGAGAAAAGGGACACGCCCAUGUGCCACGGCCGUGUGACGUGAUUACCAAGCCGUGUGAAUCGUGAAAGCCCUUGGUCAACACCCUCGAAAGACACGGGCGUGUGAGCAACCCGUGUGGAAAGGCUUAGGCCUUGUCAUCUUCUCGAUUUGGUCCGUUUUGUCUGUAAUAUCCCGAAUUAGGGCCUAAUCAGAAUAGUGGUUUCGUGACCAUAAGUCCGAGAUAGAAAUAAUUAUUUUAUAAUUAUUUUGAGGUUUAUGAUAUGAUUGCAUGAUUGUGUGAAAGUUUCGUGAUGAAAUUCUAUGCCUAAAGUGCUUAAAUUAAAAGUAGGGACUAAAUCGAAUAAGUUGCAAAACUUGCAUUCUAGAAGUUUUUAGUAUGAAAUUGUUUUGGAAUAUUAAUGAGGAGGUCUUAAAUAGCAAUUUGACCAAUUUUAAGUUCAUGGACAAAAUUAGGACAUGGAAGGAAUUUUUGAAAAGUUUAGUAGUAAGGGUAUUUUGGUCAUUUAGUUAUUAAAAUGAAUUAAAAAAAAAUUAAAAGCCAAUUUUUGUCCAUCUUCUUCAUUAGGCCGAAAUUUCAAGGGUUCUCCAUAGCUAGGGUUUGUUUCAAGCUUCCAAGCUCCAUAGUAAGUGAUUCCAAGCCCCAUCUUUAAUGAUUUUUACGUUUUUGAGAUCCCGGUAACUCGAUAAAGCUUAUGUUAGCAAUAAUUUAACCUAGGGUUUAUAUUUGGAAAAAUAUCCAUAGGUGAAAUUUGUGUAUUUUGAUGUUUUAUGAUAGAAUAUGAAGUUUUAAAUUAUGUUAGACAACUUGUACUACUCGAUUUUAAGCAAAAACGAGUAAAAGGGCUUAAUCGGUAAAAAUACCUAAUAGUCACAAGUACAUGUUAGAGUGAGAAUUUGAUGUUUCCAUAGAAGAGAAAAGUGAUCAGCAUGUUGUAAAACAUAAGAAUAAGGAAUAAAGUUUAAUCCCGAGCCUAGGGGCAAAAAUGUAAAUAUGCAAAAGUUUUUGUAAUUUUGCCAAAAUUUGAGUUAAGGAUUAAUUUGAUAAUGUGAGUAUUAAAUAAGCUAAAUGUGUUAUUUUAGAUCAAGAAAGACGUGGAAUCGACCUCAAUCGAGGAAAAGAAAAGAUUGUGGACUAAAUUGCAAAAUCUUUGUAUUUUGGUACCAAGGUAAGUUCAUGUGUAAAUAAUGUAGCAUAAUGGUUAUUUUUAAGUUAUUGAUGUUAAUUAUAUGUUAUGCUGAAUUUUAUUAUGAAAUGUAUGCUUUGUGGUUAAUUUCAAAUAAUAUGUAAAUUAUGUGAACUACUUGUUAAAUAUAAUUGUUACCGAGUAUUGAUUUCGGCAUUCUACGGAAGACGGAAAGGAUAAGUGUUCGAGGAAAAAAGCCAGUUUGAACCUUAGGAAUAGAUUAGGACACAAGUGACAUGUCACUAGGAUGGUUGAGCAUCCGAACUCGUUGAGUUGAGUCCGAGUUCACUUAUGGAUGCGAAUGUCCGAACUCGUUGAGUUGAGUCCGAGUUCGUGAGAUGUAACUAGGCAUCCGAACUCGUUGAGUUGAGUCCGAGUUCACUUAUGGAUGUGAACGCCCGAGCUCGUUGAGUUGAGUCCGUGUUCGCUUAUGGGCGGGUUACAUGAUUGCUUGAUUGCAUAUAUGGCACUUAUGUGCAAGUUAUCCAUGUAUCCGAAUUAUAUUCCGAUGUGUUCAACGGGUAAAGUUCUACUGAAAUGGAGGAAUAUUCGAGAUGUAAGGAGACGUAUUGGUAAGUGAUGUGAAAUGGAUAUUUUGGACAGGUAUGUAUUUAACCCUCGGGUUGAGUAUUGAUACAACCACGAUAAGGUAAUAAGAUGAUGAAAAAUGAUUAAAAAUGUGAUAUGUGUUUUAGUGAUACAUGCUAAUGUUGAUUGGUAUGACUGUUUGUUAUGUUACUUAUUAUUUGCAUAUGAACUUACUAAGCAUUUAUGCUUACUCUCUCCUUCUUACUCAUUGUAGUUUUGGACAAGCCAGCUCAAGAGUCGGGAUAGGUCGAAGGCUCAGUCACACUAUCCGGAAGACUUUUGGUAAUGGCUUGUAAAUUUAAGUAUGGCAUGUAUAGCAAUAUACCUUUUUUGUGUAAAUGAUCUUAUGGUAUGGUGAUGGAAUGGUUGAGGAAAUGCUUGAUAAUGAUAAAUUAUGAAAAUAGUUAGUUUAGAUUAUAUUUGAUGUUAAGGAAAAUUAUUAAGAUACUUAGUGCAUAAAAACUCAUAUAAGGGAUGAAAUUUGCCAUAAACAGAAUACUGCAGCAACACUGAUGCGAGUUUAAAAAUAUACUAAAAAUCAGAGAAAUUGAACUUGGUGAUGUACUACAUAUCAAAUUGAAGCUUAUUAUGUCUAGUUUCACAUGAAACAAAUGAAACAGGUAAAGGAAUUAUAUGUUACAAGAUAUUUGAAUUUUAGUGAAACAGGGUCAUAGCAGUUUCUGAUUCCCCUAUUCCAACUUUAGAAAUUCACCAUAAAUUUUAAAGAUAUAAUUAGGUAGUGUAUUUUAUAUUCUCAGAAUCCUUAUUGAGUCUAGUUUCAGUAGAAACAAACCUCAUAGUCAUAUCGAUUUUUUACAGAGAUAAAUAUGGUUUGUAGUAAACAGAGGUCAGACCAGUCAAGUCCUGAAACAGGGGUAAUUUUAACUAAUAAAAUGUACUAAUUUACCCAACCAAAAAUUCUAUAAAAAAACUAGUAGAUAGGUAUAUGAGUCUAGAUUUAGGGAAAAUUUACGGAUCUUAAUUUCGAGUUUCAUAACUCGAGAUAUGAUUUUUCUUGUGACUGUGAUGCAAGUAGCUUAAAAGCUGUGAAUGUAGAAAUAAAUAAUCCAAAGUUCUAAAUAUGUUAAAUUAAGCUUAGUAACACCUCAUACUCGACUCCGGCGACAGUCUCGGGCGUGGGGGCGUUACAUUGUCCCUUUAUUUUAUGUUUUUAUUUUUAUUCUAUUUUAAGACUACUUUUUCUUUUUACUUUAAGCUUAUUUCUAUUAGAUUUUAUAAUUUUUAUUUUACAAUUAUCAAUUUCGGCUAUUCCAUUACAAGUAAUUAUGCUUCCUUAUAUUUCCUAAAAUAGUUCUUGAUUCUGUCACAGUUAUAAAGUGCACCUCAGCUCAUCAUCACAUAGGAACUAAAAACUCCACCAGGAAAGGUUCUCCAUGACUGCCAUGUCCUGCUUGACCACGACCAUAGCUACCACCAUAUAAAAUUCUUUUGGUGCAGGACUUAUGGACUAAUAAAACUCUACCACCACCGGAGAUUCCCCUCCACUCUCACGCCGAUUAUUCUCCAAAACUCCAGUUCAAGGAAUUCAUUCAUCAUUCAAGAAGUUUCACUUCCCUCCCUAUCUUAUGAUUAUAAAUCUAUCUUUUUCACUAUAUCUACCUUUGUACAUUGAGGGUAAUGUACAUCUUAAGUGUAGGGGGUCUUUUAUAUCAGAAAAAAUCCCUGAAUUUUGUUUUAUUCUCAUGCGAUCUUCUCAUAUCAUUAUUAGACUGAAUUCCAAUUAGUCUAUAAUUUUUAUUAAUAUAUAUUGAAUUAAAACAUAGGCAUUUAUGCAUUGAUUGUUUAAACUUUAAGACAUUAGGGAAUCAAACAUGAUAAGUUGUUUUGGAAGAAUUAAAAACUUUUAGGUUGUCUCCCCAAGUUUAGGUAUUAUUUUGAGUAGGAAUUUACAAGUUUAAACAUCAAAAAGUCAUAAUUUUUUGUGAGAUCUUGAGCCUUUAGAGCAUUUAUUAUUUCUUUCAUGCUCACUUUCAAUAUGAGUGCGCUAUUAUUGAAUUGUUAUUCUAGAACUUGCUUGAUUAUGCAUGUUAAGACCACACCAUUUGAUUUGAUAUGUCAAAAUGAUAAAGGCACUUAGGUUUAAACCACUCACUCCAUAAAAGCCUACCUUCACAAUUAACCCUUAGUGAACCUCCUUGAGCCUAACAACCCAUUCAUUGAUUUACCCUCAAUAUUAACUCAUAACUCAUUAUUGUUGAAAUCCCCUAAAUUAAUUUGAUCCCUAUUUUUGUCGAGAUUUGAGUUGGAAUAGUUGCUUAGCUAUGUUUUAUUCUAUUUUGUAAUUUGACUUGUUCUUAAAAUAUAUAUAAUACAUGUAUACAUAUUAGUAGUAGUGAUAUUCUAAGCUAAAGAAGUUAGAUUCCAUAUUCUGAGAAAAAGCUCUGUUGUACGUAAUUGAUGACUAGUCAUUUUUCUAGUUAGGAAAUUUUUCAAUUCAAUCUCGAUUCUAACCCUUUCUUUCAGUUUGUGACCACACCUUCUAACCAAAGCCACGUUACAACCCUCUAAAGACCUUUUGAUUGAUGUUUCAUCUCAAUUUAUAGUGGUGGAGAUUUGAUUUUCAUGCAAGCCUAUGGUAAUGACUUUUCAUUAUUGACUAUUGAGUGCUUCAUUUAUUGUCCUUAAACACCUCGAGUGAUUUGAGUGAAUCUUUAGUGAGGAUGUGAAACUCUGUGAUAUUUUGAAUCAAAGGUAAUUACUUAGAUAAGGGAAGACACCUAUGUUUUCAUGAUAAAAUGCUCAACUUGGAAGGUUUGAAACUUUGAUGUUCUGUCAGUUGAAUUUUCAAUGUAUGAUUACCUACAGAUUAGUUUGAGAUAUUAUUGAUGAGAAUUAUAAGUUGAGAAGAAUUUAUUUUGAUUAUAAGUUGAGGAUUUUUCUUGAGGACAAGCAAAUGCUUAAGUGUGGGGGUAUUUGAUAAACCGUAAUUCAUACAUAUUUCUAUCCCAUGCUUAGCACAUUUUAUGGAUGAUUUAUCCUUAAAUUUGGAGAAUUCGAUGCUCCUAAUGCCUUAAUUUCAUGUUUUAUACUUAGGUGAGGAUAAGAGAGUGAAAGGAACGAGAAACGGGCCAAAAACGGAGAAAAUAGGCCAACGUACGAAAUCAACACGGCCUGGACUUCCUAACACGGGCAGACCGCAUGGUCGUGUCAAUUUGGCAGAAUCGAAGCACGACUUACACAGGUAGACCACAUGCUCGUGCCUAUUUAACAGGCUUGACCAUAGCCUGAAGUAAUCGCACACGGGCGUGUCCCUGUCGAGCCCAAGCAGAGUCCUAUUCAGAAAAGGCCACUUUUGAGGGCUCUUAGGCAUUCCAAAGCCUAUAAAUACUCCCUAGAAGAGGAGAAGAGGGGGGACACAGAUUAGGAAGCAAGGAAUUACUCAAGAGAAGCCGAUUGAUCCAUCCCAAAAGCCAGAUUCAUCAUCAAGACUGGAGAUCUCCCUUCAAGUUCCUUCUGGAGUUUUGGGUUUUCUAAUGUUUUGUUAUCUUUAUAUUUUUAAGAUGUUUUCCUUCAUAAGUAUGAACUAAACCCCUAAAUACCUAAGGGGAAUGAAACCUAUGACAUAUCUUGUUAUUAUUAUCUGAGUUGGAUGAUAAAUAUUUGACUUGUUCUUAAUUAUGUGUUCUUAAUUCUUGUUUUGAUAUUCCAGGAUAUUGAUUCAAGUUAAGCUCUUAUUCAGAGGAGGAAUAGACCCUGUCUAAGAGUAAAUUUGUCAUAAUUAAGCGGAGUUGAUUACGCACCUAGAGAUAAGGUGACAAGAUUUUGUCGGAUUAGGGUAAAACCUAAUAAGGGAAUCCAUAGAUCGAGUUAAUGCAAUUCUGGGGUGUUAAUUAGAAAGAGAUUUCAAUUAUUCAACCUAGGGUUAGACGUUAUUAGUCUUAAGAGAGAUAAUGAUAUAACUUAGGGAUUUCUCCAGAUCAAGUCAAAUGAAUAAAUCGUUUGAUUUAGAGUCAAAUAACAAGUGAAGUCUAGGUGGAUUUGUCCUUAGGUAUUGUCUCAAUCAAUCGAAUUUUCCCAAAAAGUAUUUUCCCAAGUUUUUCUUUCUGUGCAUUCUUAGUUAGUAAUUAGUUUAGACAACCAAACCUCUUAAAUUUUAGGCUAGAUAAUAAAAAGAAAGUAAAUACUAGUACUCAUAGUUCCUUUGGGUUCAACAAUCCGGUCUUGCUGAACCAUAUUACUGUUCGAUAGGUACACUUGCCUUAAUCGUGAUACUAAGUUAGUCUCAAGAAAAUUUCAUUUAUAAAUCUUUAAAACCUGUUACAAAUAUCACGCAUCAAUGUUUAUGUGAUUUGGGCAUUGAGGCCCUGGGACAUGUUUGGAGAGAUAAGGAAAUGUGAUCUAAGCUCCAUUCAACGGGACAUGUUUGGUGUGUUGGAGAGUGUUAGUUUAAUUCUUCACUUACGAGACAUGCUUGACUCUAUGAGUCUACGUGGUGUGUUGGAGAUCCGUGUAUCCGAUGAGUGGUGGUAAUGCCCACUUUUACGUUUCAUAACUCAAAUGCCAAAUUAUCUCAAAUUAUCUAUUAAUGUGAUUGUGAAUUGUGACGUUUACAUGAAUAUGCAUGUACUGAUUCUGUAAAUAAACUAUCGAAUAUGCAUGUGAAGUAAAAUAUGUCAACUAAGUUAAGGUUGCUAUAAUUAUGAUAUGUUUCACUAAUGCUUGAUGAAAUGUUUGCAUGGUAGUUGUUUUAGGCAUUCACUGAGCUUGUUAAGCUCACCCACUCCUUUUAAAACCAUUGCAAAUUACUGUGUCCUAGUGUGAGCGGUGUGAUUUUGAGGGGUGAUUCCAAGCAAUUCCUUUUCUAUUAUUUCAUAGGUCUUAUUGUUAUUUGUUUUCAUUUCGAGAAUAAGGCAAUGUGGUAGACUUUUACUGAUAUUUGCCAUGAUGUUUUGGAUGUCUUCAUAGACUAUUUGUUCCUAGGUUUAUGAGAUUCAUUUCGUAUGAUGUUGAUUAUUUGUCAGACUUAUUUUGGAUGUUUGAGACUAUUAUAAUAGUCAUUUUGAUAUUUAUGUAAUGAUGAUAUGAUGGCAUGAAGGAUUGGUGCAUGUUGGAAUGAUUUAUAUGCUCAAGUAUGUUGUAUUUUUCUGGUUUGGAGCAGAGGUAUCGAUAUUCAUGUUGUAAAAAUAAUACCUCUGUGAUUUUGGAACAUGUAGGGAGGCAACAAUGUAAUUUGGUAUCGAUACCCAAUAAAAAGUAUCGAUGCUCAAGGUAGAAAUAUCAUUACUUUGGCCGAGGUACUGAUAAUUUUCGAGGUUUGGGUUUUUAAACGAGAAACAAUAAGCAGUUUUGGUUUUAAUUUUCCCAACAAUAUCAAUACCACUUGAGAGAAUUAUCGAUACCUCACCUUCAGUUUCGAUACCUACGUAGUUAGUUUUUGGAUUUUGCUAAAUGGACUUUAUGCAUAUUUAAUUAUUAUUAUUAUUAUUAUUAUUAUUAUAAGACUAUUUGAUGUAUGUUUAGCAUGUAACAAUGAUGUUAACAGUAUGACUGACUUAAAACCUAUACCAAUACUAAAAUGGAAGUCAUUUCAUUUAGAAUGAGCUUUUACUUAUUGUGUAUAACAUGAGACGGUGGUGUAGCAUCCUGAUAUUCAGGCUUGGAGACCAAGUUGGGUAUAGGGUGUUACACUUAAAAUUUCCAUCCCCCAAAUUUUCUUUGCUGCACCUAAAUCUUUCAUCUCGAACUUAGAGUUAAGCAUAGUUUUAAGACAACAAAUAUCAAAUGGAUUCUUAGCUGCAAUUAACAUAUCAUCAACAUAAAGUAAUAAAUAUAUAAAAGAAUCAUCAUCAAGACGUUGUAGAUAAACACAACUAUCAUACUUACUUCGGGAAAAACCAGUACUCAACAUGAAGGAGUCAAACUCUUUAUACCACUGUCGAGGAGAUUGCUUCAAACCAUACAAAGACUUUUGUAAAAGACAAACAUAAUAUUUUUUACCUUCAAAUUUGAAGCUUUCUGACUAUUGCAUGUAGAUGUCCUCCUCAAGGUCACUGUGAAGGAAAGUAGUCUUUACAUCUAACUGCUCUAACUCAAGAUUAUUUGAUGCAACAAAUUCCAAAAGCGCUCAAAUUGAUGUAUGUUUCACAAAAGGAGAGAAAACAUCAUGAAAAUCAAUUCCUUUCACUUGAUUGUAGCCCUUUUGCAACUAGUCUUACCUUGUACCUAGUGUUAUUAGGACCUGAACCUUCCUUCUUUUUAAACACCCAUUUGCAACCAAUGAUUCCUUUACUGAUGGGUGGUUUAACUAGCCUCUAAUUCUCAUUCUUUUGAAGUGAUUUCAUCUCUUCUUCCUUUGCAACGAACCAUUGGUUGGAGUCGAAGGCUUGAACUGCCUCAUAAUAACACGAAGGUUUGGUUGAAACAAUGCUCUCGGCAACACUUAGAGCAUAAGCCACUAGGUUUCCUUCACAAUAUUUUUGUGGUGGUCGGAUUUCUUGCCUUUUCCUUUCACGAGCCAACUUAUAAUUAGUUAACUGAUAUGGUGAGGGUACCUAAGGGUCGGAUGAAAACCAAAACAAAUCCAAAACAGCUUCAAACAAGCAAAAAUUAGAAUUUUUUUGUGUCGACGUGACAUUGUGAGACACUUUAUCGGGACAAGUGAUAAACUGUAAUUUAUACAUAUUUUUAUCCCAUGCUUAGCACAUUUAUGGAUGAUUUCUCCUUGGAUUUGGUGAAUUCGAUGCUCCUAAUUCUUUAAUUUCAUGUUUUAUACUUAGGUGAGUAUAGGAGAGUAAAAAGAGCGAGAAACGGGCUGAAAACAGAGAAAAUGAACCCACAUGGGAAAUCAACAUGGCUUGGACUUCCUCACACAGGCAUGUCACACGGCCGUGUCCAAUUGGCAAGAUCAAAGCAUGACUUACACGGGUAGACUACACGCCCAUGCCUACUCAACUGCCUUGACCACGGGUAGGAGCAAUCGCACACGAGCAUGUCCCUGCCAAGCCCGAGUAUAGUCCUAUUCGGAACAGGCCACUUUUGAGGGCUCUUAGGCAUUCUAAAGCCUAUUUAAACACCUGAGGAGGCACUUAGAAGAGACAUACGGAGUAGGAGACAAGGAAUUACUUAAGUGAAGCCGAUUGGUCCAUCUCAGAAGCCGAAUUUAUCAUCAAGAGUGAAGAUCUCCCUUUAAUUUCCAUUCAAGGGUUUGGGGUUUUCUUUAUGUUUUGUAUUCAUUAUUCUUCUGAGAUUUUUUCUUUUAUAAUUAUGAACUAAACCCUAAGAGGAAUGAAACCUAAGACAGAUCUUGUUAUUAUUAUCUGAAUUGUAUGAUAAAUAUUUGACUUGUUCUUAAUUAUGUGUUCUUAAUUCUUGUUUUAAUAUUCAAGGAUAUUGAUUCAAGUUAAUGCCCUUAUUCAGAAGAGCAAAAGUCUCUGUCUAAGAGUAAAUUUAUCAUAGUUAAGCGGAGUUGAUUGCAGCCUAGAGAUAGGGUGACAAGAUUUUGUCGGAUUAGGGUGAAACCUAAUAAAGGGGUCCAUAGAUCAAGUUAAUGCAACACUAGGGCGUUAAUUAGAAAGAGAUUUCAAUUAAUCAACGUAGAGUUAGACGUUAUUAGUCUCAAGAGAGAUAAUAAUAAAACUUAGGGAUUUCUACGGAUCAAGUCAAAUGAAUAAAUCGUCUGAUUCAGAGUCAAAUAACAAGUGAAGUCUAGGUGGAUUUUUCCUUGGGUAUUGUCUUAAUCAAUUGAGUUUUUCCAAAAGCUUUUUCCCAAUUUUCUCUCUGUGCACCCUUAGUUUAGUUAAGUAGUUUAGAUAAACAAAUCCUUUAAUUUUUAGGCUAGAAAAUAAAAAGAAAGUAAUUACUAGUACUCUUGGUUCCUUUGGGUUCAACAAUCUGGUCUUGCUAAAGCUAUACUACUGUUCGAUAGGUACACUUGCCUUCAUUGUGAUAAUAGUUAGUUUCAAGAACGAUUAAUUAUAAAUUUCUAAAACCUAUUACGAAUAUCACGUAUCAACAAGACCUCUAUUCGUCACGUCAUUGCGAUGUUAGGCAUUUGCUCGUUAUGUCGUCACCUUUUUAUUUCGGCUUUUGACUCCACCUUGCUCGAGACACUCUGAUUUGUUAUGUCUUUAAAAUUAAAAGUCUUAUUUUGUUAUCAAAGCAUAGUAGAUUUAUCAAACGUAACAUCUCUGCUAACAAUGAUCUUUUCAGAUUCUAAACAUCACAACUUAAAAACUUUUGUACUAGCAGCAUAUCCCAAAAAGAUGCUUUUAACGACCCUUGGUUCAAGCUUUCCCUAGCUACUUUAGCAUAAGUAGGACAACCAAAAAUUCUAAGAUUUGAUUAAUUUGGAGGAUUACCUAACCAUAUCUCCUUUGGAACUUUACCAUUCAAUGCUCAAUAAGGAGAUCGAUUUACCAAAUAACUUGUUAAGUUUACAGCUUCAGCCCAAAAUUCCUUCCCUAAGCAUGCGUUAGAAAGCAUGCAUCAAGCCUUUUCUAGCAAGGUUCUGUUCAUUCUUUUUGCAACUUCAUUCUAUUGUGGAAUUCUAACAAUGAUUCGAUGUCUUUCAAUUCCUUCCCGUUUGCAAAAUCACUAAACUCUGACAAAAAAAACUCAACACCAUUAUCUGUUCUCAACUUCUUCAUGGAUUUUCUGAUUUGUUUUUCUAAUAGUGUCUUCCACUGUUUGAAAAUUUCGAAGACUUGUUCUUUUCUAUUUCAAGAAAUAAACCCAAACUUUUCUGGAGUAAUCAUCAAUAAAAGUUAGGAAAUAUUUAUUAUCUCCUUUUGGGAUGUUAAAAGAUGGACCCCAAAAAUCAGAAUGAAUGUAAUAUAAAGUCCCUUUUGUUCUAUGCACUGCUAAAUCGAAACUAACUCGGGUUUGCGUAACACCCCGCACCUGUAUUCAUUGUCAGAAUAAGGUUGCAGAGCAUUGCCAAACUUCUUUCACAAAUAAACACACAUUUCUCAUACAUUUUUCCAUUAUAAAUAUAAAACAUUUACAAUCAUUUAUAACGCCCCUAAUAUGAGCCUACGAGGCCCAAAACAUGCUUUAGAAAUGGUUUGGGAAUAAACCGAUAACUUAGGAAACUUUUAGAAAACUUAGAAAGUUUUUCAAAAUACAGGGAACAUAGGCCUGUGUGGCCUGACCGUGUGUCUCACAAGGCCAAAUACACGCCCAUGUCACAAGCUCAGUGGACAUUCGAAAUGGGAUCACAUGGCCAUGUCUCAGCACAUGUCCGUCCCCGUGUAACUCCCUGACUUCGGUCACACGACCAACCACAUGCCCGUGUCACCAACCCGUGUGCCCUUCGGAAUGGCCUAACACACCCAUGUGCUAGGCCGUGUGCUAGGCCAUGCCAAACCUGUAGGGUAUUCUAACUAAUACUACACGGCCAAGUCACACGCCCGUGUGUUGGGCCGUGUGGAGCAUACUAACUUGGUUUCUAAUUAAACACCAGGGGACACACAGCCGUGUCACCUGACCAUGUGUCACACACAGCUGAGACACACACCCGUGUCUCUUCCCGUGUGGACAAAAAUAGGCUAUUUACCGAGCCAUUUUUUUCACCCAAUUUGUAAUCACCUACACUAAACCAAAGGCAUAUAAUAUGGUAUAAAUAAGCAUUCCAACCAAUCUCAACCAAGCCUAAUUCAUGCUAAAUCCAUACUAUCAACCAUAUGACUUACAAGUAUAACAAAUAGUCAUUCAAUUUCAUACCAAAUUCACACCAAAUUCACAUUCUCAAAUUGCCUAAAUGGUCACUUUCAUUUAUACAUCACUUUACCUAAAAUCACAAGCAUACUAAUUCUCAAUUAUCAACUAUUUGAUACUCAAAUUACCAAUUCAUAAAGAACCUUUCACCAUAAGCAUUUACAUGAUAAUUACCAAAUGCAUAACAAAGGCCAUUUGCACAUAUAUAUAUACACAACCAAAUCAACUAAAAUAAGCCAAAUCACAUGGCUAUACACAUAACAAACCAUUCAUCAUUUAUAAGCCAACUCAAAUGGCUAAACCUAUUACCAAACUAUAUACCAAAAUGACCAUAACUCCUAUACAUGCCAUAUAACCAAAUUACAUAAGUUCAAAAGUACCAAAGUAAUAGCUUGAUAGUGUGAUGAGAUCUCCGAUGACUCUUGAAUCCGAGCAAGCUUUGAUAAUCACUAUAAAACACGAAAAAGUAAAUAGAGUAAGCUACAAAGCUUAGUGAACUCGUAUGCUAAGUAAGUAAAACUUACCAACCAACAAUUCAAUAACAUAAACAUCAUAUAAUGCAAUUCAACUUUGAAGCAUAACUUAAUACAUAUAUUCAACCCAAGGAUUAAACACAAUUUCCAUCAACUUCUUCGAUUUUAUGAUUGUAUAGUUCACGUACAUACAUGUACAAGCUCUUAUUAAUCUCAUACUCGUCCAUAUCCUUGAUAUACCUAUUGAACCAUUUGGAAUACUAUCAGGUACCCGGGAAUCUCACACACUAAGUGCCAAUACAUAGCCGAAGCUAUCUCAAUCUCAUAUCACAUAUAAUGUUCACUCUCGAGCUAUCAACGGGUCUGCUCACACAAGUUGACGAUCAUGACAUAGCUACACGGUGCUGCUCACACAAGCUGACUAGAAUCCGCAACACAAGCCGAGUAACUCAGCCACCAGUAGGACGUACGGACUAGCACCCAAAUCACAUAACCCUUAAUGACAUGUCAUUUGUAUCCUAAUUUAUUCCUAAGGUUCAACUGGGAAUUCUCAUUACCGAAUCUUAGUCGAACAUUUUUGUACAAUCAUAUUCAUCAACAAUUCAAAUAUAAAAAAUUUAGAAACACAAUUAAAGUAAUGCUUCUUAACAUACAAACUUACCUCGAUUCACAAAAAUGACGGAAUGAAUCGAUUAAUCCAACACUUUGUUUUCCCUCAAAUCUAGAUCUGAACUUUAUUUUUCUUGAUUUAUAUAAUAUCAAAUUCAAUCUAUUCAUUAUUCAUUCUAUUCAAUUUAGCCCAAAAUGCAUAUUAUGGAAAAAUUACACUUUUGUCCCUAACAUUUCAAUAUAUUUACAAUUUAGUCCUUAGCUCAUAAAAAUAAAAAUUCAUGCAAUUAGGUCCCUACCCAUGCUAGCUGAAUUUCAUAUAGACCCAUAACAGCCCAUAUUUUUCAUUUAUUUCACAAUAUAAUCACAAAAUUUACACAUUUCACAAUCUAAUCCCUAAUUGGCAAUUUUACAAAAAAUCACUUUACAAAUGUUAUUUAUCUAACAACAACCAUUUAUUUUCUAUCAUCAAACAUCACAAGUCACACAUAUUCAUCAAUGGUAAAACCUUAAACCUUUCACAAUUUUGUAAAUUAGUCCCUAAGCUACCUAAAUUAAGCUGCAAUGAUCUCAAAACAUAGAAAUCAUUAAAAACGGGACAAAAAUCACUCACCAAUUUAACAAUAAAGUAGUCGAACCCUAGAAAGCUUCCAUGGAGGUCUCUCUCUUUUAUUUUUCGGUAGAAGAAGAUGACUAAAAGAUGGUAUCUUUGGUUUUCUUUAUUUUACUAAUUACUAAAUUACACUUUUAACCUUGGCUAUAAAACAUUAAAAUUACCUAAUACAUGUCCAAGUGUAACAUCUCGAAAUAGGGCCUAGUCGGAACAGUGGUUUCGAGACCAUAAAUCUGACAUUGAAAUAUUUUUUUAUGAUUAUUAUGAGGCCUGGAAUAUGAAAAUAUGCAUGUGUUGAAGUUUCAUGAAGAAAUUCUAUGAGUAAGGUGUCCAAUUGGAAAAUAAGGACCAAAUCGAAUAAUUUGUAAAACUUGGGUUCUAGAAACAAUUUGCAUGAAAUUGCUUUUAAUUAUAAAUUAAAAGGUCUUAAAUAGAAAUUUUCCCAAUUUCUAAGUUUUUGGACAAAAAUGGGCAUACAUGGAAAAUUUUGGAAGUUCAGUAAGGAAGGGCAUUUUGGUCAUUUGGUAAUAAAAUCAAUAAAAAGGGAAAAUGAAGGCAAAAAUCAGCCAUCUUCUCCCUUGUACCAGCCAAAAUUCUCAAGCCUUCCAUAGCUAGGGUUUUCAACAUUUUCAAGCUCAAUAGUAAGUGACUCCUAACCCCGUUUUUAAUGUUCUUUGUAUUGUUGAGAUCCUUGUAACAUGUUCUCUCCAUUUCCACCUAUAUUUUAAGCUAGGGUUCAUGUAUAAAAAGUGACCCAUGUGUGACAUGUUUGUUCUUUAAUGUUUUAUGGAGGAAUAUGAAAGUUAGAUGUGUGUUAAACAUCUUCUCCUAAGUGAUUUUCAUGAAAAGCCCCUAAAAGGAUGUUUUUGCAAAAGGUACAAAAUAUGUGGUAGAAAUGUGAAAUAGAGAAAAAUUUGGGCUAGUAUGAGUUUAUAAUGCAUUCGACUAGGCUUGGGUAACCAAAGAAUUGCAUGUAUAUCAUUUUACGAGCCUAGGGAUUAAAUCAUAAAUAAUGUGAAAGGUUAAGGGCAAAACAGUCAUUUUGUCUAGGGGUGAAAUUUAGGCUCAAAAAGAAUAAUGUGAGAUAUUGAUAAUUCAUUUUUAUUGUUAUAGACCCCAAGAAACAAAUUUUGGAGGUCGAUCAAGGAAAAUGAAAUGUUUCAGAAUAACCAAAAUGCGAAAUCGACACAAAUACCAGGUAAGUUCAAAUAACUUAAAGUAAACUCAUAAUAUGCCUAAAUGCAUGUUUUAUGAAUAUUAGAUAGUUUUAUAUAAUGAUGGCAUGAAAAUCCAUGAAAUGUGUUAAUAAUAAUGACAAGAUGAUAAAUGUCUCAGUUGAAGUUAAAAGGGAAAUUCGAUGGAAAAACCAUGGCUUACGUGACUUGAGAUCCUGCAUGUGUUGCAGAAAAGGGUUUAGCCCAGACGGGUAAUCCGUUGAUCUCAAAUAUAGAAAGGAUCUAGCCCGAACGGGUUUUCCUUGAAUGAUCAAGUCUCUUGAAGAAUAUGUGUGCAUUAAGGAUUUAGCUCAGACGGGUAAUCCGAUUAGGGUCUGAAUUUAGCCUGGACUGGUAAUUCAGACCUGAGCUCAUUAAGGUUGUUUGUCACUAUAAGGGAUUUAGCCUGGACUGGUAAUCCUGAAAACACUCCAUGAGUUUAUAUUACGGGGGAUUUAGCCUGGACUGGUAAUCCCGCUGUAAGAUAUGAGGUUCGUAGGAGUGCGUACUUAAGAAGAUCACUCUUAUGACUUGACGGUAAAUGGAUAAUCCAUCAAGAUUUUCGAGGUACUCAAUGGGAUUAACAUGAGAUAUCGAAAUGAAAAUAUUGGAUGAUGAGCUCAUCUAAGACAAAUUACAUUAUGAAUUAUUAUGGGACUAACUUGAUGCUUGAGUGUAUGUAAUAGGAGGCUAUCCUAUAUUUAUUGGAUUGGUUGCCUAACAUGGUUGUAUGCUAAUUAAUCGGUAAGUUUACUUUCCAAUUAUUCGGGCUUACUAAGCAUGUAAAUGCUUACCCCUCUCUUUUCCCUGUCUUAUAGAGCUCGAGGACUCGUAGAGAUUGGAAGACGGUUGGAGUAUUGUUGACACUAUCCACUUCUCCUGUUUUGGUAUAUAGAUACUUUUAUUUUGUUACAAUGGCAUGUAUAGAUUUUUGGUUAUUUGGUGUUAUAUGUCAUUGGUUGGCCAAUGUAAAGGCUUAAAUGUUAAACUUAUUCUUUUUGUAUAUGGCCAUAAGACAUGGCUCAUUUCAUUGUAGAUUAUGACCUACCAACCAUGCAUGUUUAUGUUAGAAAUGUUUUUGUGAUGAUUAAAUGUUGUAUAUCAUAAAUAAGCAUUCGUAAGGUGGCCAAAACAUUUGGAAAUGGUUAGGCCAUAAUUGGAAAUGAAUUGUAAUAAUGAUCCAAGCCUAAAAUAUGUUUCAAUAGGAUGGAAAUCCUUAUUAUGAAAAGGGGAUAAUUGAGUAUGUAUUUAACUGAUGAGAUGAGGUUGACAUGCAAUGGAUUCAUUGAUGAUAGUCCUUGAGUAUAUUUAAGUCAUGUUAAAUGCAAUUGGGGUUUUUAUAUGUGAGGAAAUGAUGAGGGUGACCAUUGGCUUGAAAUUAUAGCCUAAAAAGGGUCCACACGGGUAGACACACAAGUGUGUGUCUAGGCCGUGCGUGACACACGGUCAGCCCCAUGGGUGUGUGGUACGGUCGUGUGUCCCCUGCACCUAAAGUUUUUUCAGUCAAAAUGCAUGGUAGUAAACACACAGAAAGAGACAUAGUCGUGUGUCUCAGCCGUGUAGAGGGCACGGCCUAGCACACGGGCAUGUGUCUUGGCCGUGUGCCCCUAAAUACAUGCUGACAUCAUAAACAGAAUGUCCAGGUUUUUGGACAUGAGCUAUCACACAGGCGUGGCUAGGCCAUGUGAAAAACACGGGCCAGGGACACGGGCGUGUGCUUGGCCAUGUGAAAACCCUAUAGGUUCAAAAUAAAAAAUAAAUUUAAUUAAUUCCACACGAGUUAGGGACAUAGGUGUGUCCCCAAAGCACACGGGCGUGUGCAUUGUCUCCACACUGGUGUGUGAGGCUUAACCUAGAAAAUUUUCCUAAAAUUUUCUUAGGUUCUCGGUUUAGUCCCGGACCAUUCUCAAUGUAUGUUUUGGAUCUCGUAGGCCCAUAAUAGUGAUACUAAGAUGUUGUUUAAUUGGUUUUAAUUUGGAACAAAAUUUUUUAACCCGUAUUUUUCGAAAAUGUCUAAGUAUGUAUCUCGUAACGCCUUGUACUUGGUCUCGGUCUCAGGUACGGGUAAGGGAUGUUACACCGAGAAUGUCCACUAACUUUAUAAAUGGGCUAAUUACCACAUAAGGACCUCCACUUUCAGGUUCCAUAGCUAUAGAUACCUUUAGCUAAUAGAAUUCAAGUUUUACACUUUAUGCGAUUUAGUCCUUUUUAUCAAAUUGAACAUUCAAACUAUAAAAUUUCUUAAAGAAAUUUUCACACAAUCAUACUAUCGUACUGUAGACAUUAAAAUACUAAUAAAAUAAUUAUUUUGACCUCAGAUUUUUGGUCCCGAAACCACUGUUCCAAUUUGACUAAAAAUGGGUUGUUAUAGUUUGUUUCCCAAAAAUGUAAUGCUCGUAAAAACCUAAUUUGUAACGCCCCUCACCCAUAUCGACGCCAAAAUAGGUUCAAGCCGUUACCUGAGAUUCUCAUUCGUAAACAUAUUAAAUCAAGUCACUAAGUUGCGCUGUAAUUUAGAACUUUUCAAAUAUGUAUAUCCUUUCCCUUAAACAGGCCUUCGAGACCUAAAACAUGCCUAGAGGCGGUGCGGGACAAAACCAAGAACGUUUGAUAAACAUGGAGCACAUUGGAAAUUUUCUUUUAACUUGAAGUGUCACACGCCCGUGUGACUUGGGACAUGCCCGUGCAAUCACCCUGUGUCCAAGACUUGAACAUUCUAUUAAAUUCACACGGCCAAGACACACGCCCGUGUGUCUAGCCCGUGUUCAUUUAACAGACCUACCAUUUUAGAUGAAAUGGACACACGAUCAUGCCAUACACCCACGAGUGUGUCCCGUGUGUCACACAUAGCCUAGGCACAUGCCCGUGUACCCAACCGUGUCAACCCUAUUAGGCUAUUUUCGAAGCCUAUGGUCACCCCCUUUUAACACUUAUACUUAAUGAAUAUUAAAAACGAAGUAAAACAAGAUUAUGUUCUCAUAAAUGAUCUUUGCAAAAAACUUAUUGCAUGGAAACCUCAUAUCAUUGGUUUCGUACAUGCUAGGUUAUUUCCCAUCUUGUAUUUAUGUGUUGUCAUACCACUUUAACACAUUCAAGAUUGGCUCGUUCUUAUGACUCAUUGCUAAUUGGAAUUCAACCCUCGCACAUGAUUCUAAACUUGAAUGGAAAUUUUGUAGGUCAUAGCCUAUUUCAAAAUAAGCCAAUCUCCAUGGCGACAUACAAAAAGAUAGAAUUCUCUUUCAUGCCUUCAUUUGGUAAAUUAAAUGGCACAUAUAACAAAUUACUCAAAAGACCUAUACAUGCCAUUGAACAAAUCAAAAAUGUCUUUAUACCAAAGCUGAGCUAUUUGAUAGUAUGCUAACUCUCUAACCCUCUUCCAAUCUUUACAAGUCCUCGAGCUCUGGGAGAAACAGGGAAAAGAGAGGGGUAAGCAUUUUCAUGCUUAGUAAGCUCGAAUAACCAGACAGUAAACUUACCAAGUAAUUAGCAUGCAAUCAAGUUGGUUAAUAAAUUCAAUGAGCAUAGGAUGGCUUCCCUAUCACAUACACUCAAUCAUUGAGUUAGUCACAUAACAAUGCACUAUGAAAGAUAUCUUAGAUGAGCUCAUCAUUCAACAUCUCAUUUAGUAAAUAUAAGUCAUGUUAAUCUUGUUGAGUUUCUAGGAAGUUUCAAUGAUAUACCCAUUAACUGUCAAUUCGUAUGAAUGAUCAUUUCCAGUAUGCACUCCCGCGAACCUCACAUCUCAUGGCGGGAUUACCAGUCCAAGCUAAAUACCCCAUUUUAUGAACUCAUAAGUUGAUGUCGGGAUUACUAGUCCAAGCUAAAUCCCUUAUAACGAAAAACACUUUUAUUGAGCUCGGAUCUAAAUUACCAGUCCAGGCUAAAUUCAGAUCCUAAUCGGAUUACCCGUCUGGGCUAAAUCAAUAAUGCACACAUAUUCUUCGGGAGGCUCGACUAUUCAAAAGAACACCCGUCUGAGCUAGAUCGUUUUAUAAAUGAGAUCAACGGAUUACCCGUCUGGGCUAAAUCCUUUCUGCAACACAUGCAGGACCUCAUUACACAUGUCAAUCAUGGUUUAUCUUUCGAAUUCCCUUUUUAACCUCAACUGAGACAUUUAUCACAAUUCAUACUUAAACAUGCAUUUCAUAAAAUUUCAUGUUAUUAAUAAAUGCAAUCACCAUGUAUUCAUAAAUCAUAUAAUUAGGCACAUUGAGUGUUUACUUUAAGUUAUCCGAACUUACCUGGUAUUUGUUUCGGUGUCAUGUUUCGUUUAUUCUGAAACCUUUUGUUUUUCUCGAUUGACCUCCGAAAUUUGUUCCUCGAGGUCUAUAACAAUAAAAAUAGAUCAUUAACACUCCACAUUAUACAUUUCAAGUCUAAAUUCCACCCUCGGUCCAAAUGACCAUUUUGCCCCUAACCUUUCACAUUUUUACGAUUUAGUCCCUAGGCUCGUAUGAUGAAACACACGCAAUUUAUACUUUACUCAAGCCUAGCCAAACACUUUUCCCUCUUAUGGUAGCCUACAUUUUCCAUUAUUUUCACAUUCCUACCACACAUUUUACAACUUUUGCAAAAAGGUCCCUUUAGGGGUUUUUCAUGAAAAUCACCUAGGAAAAGUUGUUUAACACACAUCAAACUUUCAUAUUCCUCCAUAAAACAUCAAAAUACAAUUAACUCAUGCAUGGGUAAAUUUUUAAACAUGAACCCUAGCAUGAAAUAUUGGUAGAAAUGGAGAUAGUAAGCUACCGGGAUCUCAAAAUUACGAAGAACAUUAAAAACGGGGCUUGGGAGCACUUACUAAUGAGCUUGAAAAUCUUGGAAACCUUAGCUAUGGUGGCUUAUGAAUUUCAGCUGGACAAGGGAGAAGAAUGGCUGAUUUUUGCCUUCUUUUUCCCAUUUUAUUUCAUUAAUAUGCCACAUGACCAAAAUGCCCUUACGCCAUUUCUUUGAAAUUUCAUCCAUCCAAGCCCAUUUUUUUCCAAAAACAUAGAAAUUGGGAAAGUUGCUCCCCAAGACCUUCUAUUUUAUAAUCUAAAUCAAUUUCAUACAAAUUGCUUCUAGAAUCCAAGUUUUGUAAUUUAUUCAAUUUAGUCCCUAAUUUUCCAAUUGGGCACUUACUCAAAGAAUUCCUUCAUGAAACUUUAACACAUGCGUAUUCUCAUAUUGUAAGCCUUGUAAUAAUCAUAAAAUAAAUAUUUUGAUGUCUGAUUUGUGGUCCCGAAACCACUAUUCCAACUAGGCCCUAUUUUGGGAUGUUACAUUUCUCCCCCCAAGGACUUUCGUCCUCGAAAGUCUUACCAGUGAACUGAUUCGGAUAUUGGCUUCUCAUGGAUUCUUCUGGUUCCCAUGUAGCCUCUUCUACACCAUGUCGAUGCCAUAAAACUUUUACUAAGGCCACAUAUUUAUUCCUCGGCUGUUUAACCUCACGAGCCAAUAUCUUAACUGGUUCCUCUUCAUAGGUCAUGUCUAGUCGAAUUUCAAUCUCAGUCAGUGAAAUCACGUGAGAGGGGUCUGAUCAGUAUCGCCUUAACAUAAAUACAUAGAACACAUCGUGAAUCUUUUCCAAUUCAGGUGGAAAUGCCAAGUGAUAGGCUACCGGUCCAACUCUUUCAAUGAUCUCAUACGGUCCGACAAAUCGCGGAUCCAGUUUGCCUUUUGGGGCAAAUCUCAACACCUUUUUUCCAUGGAGAUACUUCCAAGAAUACUCUAUCUCCAACUUGAAACUCAAUUUCCUUUCUUUUCAAAUCAACAUAUGAUUUUGCCUAUCCGAUGCCGCUUUCAAACAGUCUCGUAUCACUUUAAAUUUCUCUUCAGUUUCUUUAAUCAAAUCAACUCUGUGAAUCUGAUUUUCCUUAAGUUAUGUCCAGUACAAUGGAGUUCAGCACUUCCUGCCAUACAAGGCCUCAUAAGGUGCCAUCUUCAAACUCGUCUGAAAACUAUUGUUGUAGGCGAAUUAUACUAGUGGCAAAUAUUUUUCCCAACUACCCUGAAAUUCAAGGACGCAACAUCGCAACAUAUCCUCAAGAAUCUGAAUCAUCUGCUCAGACUAACCAUCUGUCUAAAGGUGAAAAGCUGCACUAAAGCUUAACUUCAUACCCAAGGCUUCUUGUAAUUUCUUCAAGAAUCUCGAAGUGAACCUCGGGUCUCAGUCGGAAAUAAUUAAUAGUUGUACCCCAUGAAAUCUUACAAUCUCAGAAAUGUAUAAGUCGGCAAAUCUAUCGAGGGAAUAAUAUGUCCUCAACAGAAUAAAAUAAGCCAACUUCGUCAACUUAUCUACUAUGACCCAUACGGCAUUUUUCUUCUUCGAAGUCAAUGGUAAUCCUGUCAUGAAAUCCAUAGUAACUCUAUCCCACUUCCAUUCGGGGACAAUCACAGGCUGUAGAAAACCUGAAGGCACUUGAUGUUCAACUUUAACUUGCUGACAUACCAGGCAUUUCGACACAAAUUUAGAAAUCUCUCUUUUCAUGCCGUUCCACUAGUAUGUUUUCUUCAAAUCAUUGUACAUCUUGGUACUUUUCGGGUGAAUUGACAAACGGCUGUUAUGUGCUUCUUGCAAAAUUUUCCGAAUAAGUUAAUUGUUUUUGGGUACACAAAUCGUAUCUCUGAACAUCAAACAUCCAUCAGAAACAAUCCAAAAAUUUGAUUCAAUACCUCACUCACAUUGAGUUUGUUUAGCUUGAAAGCUAUCAUCAUUAGUUUGAGCAUCAUAGAUUUCAUGAAGGAAUGUCGGCCUAGCCUUUAGCUCAGCCAAGACUGAACCAUCAUCAAGCAAUGCCAAACGAGCAUCCAUAGCCCUUAAUGCAAACAAGGAUUUUCUGUUCGACACGUCAGCGAUCACAUUCGCCUUUCCCAGGUGAUAAUCAAUAAUUAGUUCGUAAUCCUUGAUUAACUCUAGCCACCUCUGCUGCCUCAAAUUUAAUUCUUUUUGAGUUAUCAAAUACUUCAAACUCUUGUGGUUAGUGAAUAUGUGGCAAGUCUCACAAUAUAAAUAAUGUCUACAAAUUUUCAAAGCAAAAACGAUGGCGGCAAGUUUUAGGUCGUGUGUAAGAUAGUUCUUCUCAUGCGGCUUCAACUAUCGUGAAGCAUAGGCUAUUACUUUGCCAUCUUGCAUAAGUACACAACCCAGUCUAUUUGAGGAUGCGUCACUGUAGACUACAAAUUAUUUUCCCGACUCAGGUAAUACUAAAACAGGAGCUUCAGUUGACAGUGUUUUUAACUUCUAAAAACUUUGUUGACACUUUUCCGUCCAUUCAAACUUAAUGUUUUUCUGUAACAAUCUCAUCAUUGGAGUUGCUAUCAUGGAGAAUCCUUUCACAAAUCUUCGAUAGCAACCAGCUAAGCCCAAAAAGCUUCUAACCUCAGUUACAUUUUUAGGUGGUUUCCAUUCAAUAAUAGCAGAGAUCUUACUUGGAUCGACUAGGAUGCCUUCACCAAAAACAAUAUGACCUAAAAAUCCAACUUCCUAAAGCCAAAACUCACUCUUGCUAAACUUAGCAUACAGCUGCUUUUCCCGCAAAGUCUGCAACACAAUUCUCAAGUGCUUCGCGUGCUCUGUCUUAUCUUUGGAAUAAAUCAAUAUGUCGUCAAUGAACACAACGACAAACUUGAUCAAAUAUGGCUGUAAGAUCCUAUUCAUUAGGUCUAUAAAUACAGCUGGUGCAUUCAUCAGCCCAAAUGGCAUGACAAGAAAUUCAUAAUCGCCAUACCUUAUCCUAAAGGCUGUCUUAGGUACAUCCAAUUCUUUAACUCGCAACUGGUAAUAGCCAGACCCUAAGUCUAUCUUAGAGAACACGGUGGCUCCUUUCAACUGGUCAAACAAAUCAUCAAUCCUUGGUAAAGGAUACUUAUUCUUGAUAGUUACCUUGUUCAGUUGGCUGUAAUUUAUACAUAACCUCAUCGAACUAUCCUUCUUCCUUACAAAUAGAACGGGAGCACCCUAAGGUGAAAAGCUCGGCCUUACAAAACCUUUAUCCGUCAGCUCUUGCAACUGUGCUUUCAACUCUCUCAGCUAGGUUGGUGCCAUCCUAUACGGAGCAAUUAAAAUAGGAUCUGUCCUUGGCACCAGCUCAAUACCAAAUUCUAUUUCCCUUUCAGGAGGUAAUCCGGGUAAUUCUUCUAGAAAUACAUCUGGGUACUCACAUACUAUAGGCACAGAUUCAAUCUUCAACUCUGUUUCCUUAGUGUUCAAUACAAUUGCAAGGUAGGCUUCAUACCCUUUUCUCAUAUAUCUCUGAGCAACCAUUGCCGUGAUCACAACCGAAAGCGUACCCAACUCUCUUGAAUCAACCCAUAGAAAUUCACCAUCCGGACAUUUCAAUUUAAUAUACUUACCACCAUAAUUUACAAUUACAUCAUGCAGUGCUAACCAAUCCAUACCAAAUAUUAUAUCAAAUUCAUCAAAUGGUAACAACAUAAGAUUAGCCAGAAAACAAUGACCCUGAAUUGUCAAAGGACAAUUCUUACAGACUUUAUCAACUAUGACUGAUCUGCCUAGUGAGUUCGACACUUUAAUAAUAAAUUCCGUAGGCUCAAUGAGUAUGUUCAUUCUAGAUACCAAGCUCAUACAAAUGUAUGAAUGCGUCGACCCCGGGUCAAUUAAGGCAAUAACACAUGUAUCGAAAAGAGAAAAAGUAUCCGUGAUAACAUUAGGAGCAGAGGCUUCCUCUCGGGCGCGUACCGCAUACGUUCUUGCCGGAGGUUGAGCCUCUAAUUUUGCAGCAUCUUUAACCACAACUCAACUGUCACUGGCACUUCCAAGAUAUCUCGGAGGUCUACCUCAUGAAAUGGGAGUACUCGACUUCAGGGCUACUUUCACUUCUUUCUCGACUCACUCUAGGCAGUCCCUGAGAAAGUGGUCAAGAGAUCCACAUCUGAAACAUGCACGUCUCUUCACUCGGCACUCUCCGAAGUGAAAUUUGUUGCAACUCCUACACUUCAGCUUUUGAUCAUCUACACUCCCCACACUAGUUACCAUCAGGGAGGAAGACUUUUGGCUUCUUCGUUUAGAGCUUCUCGCUCUACCCAAAUAUCCUACUGAUGAAAUGGAGCGUUCAUGCUGGCUCUUUGAUUUCUUGUGGGAAACAAGAGUGUUCUACCACUAGACCUCUUGCUCGCGGCUUAGGCCUCUCUCUUUGUUUGCUUUCUUUCGUUGUUAAGCUCCCCGACCUUCUUGGCCCGAUCAGCCAAUGCAACAACCUCUCAUAUUUCAAGGAUCCCAAUCAACAACUUAAUUUGCUCCUUCAGACCUUCCUCGAAGCGUUUACACAUUUUUGACUCGGUUUGGAGCCAUUCAGUUGCGUGCUGACUUAGCCUCACGAACUCUCGUUCAUAUUCUGCUUCAGUCUUGUUCCCUUGUUUGAGUUUUAGGAACUCAUUUCGUUUCAAGUCUAGAAACCGUUGGCUAAUGUAUUUCUUCCUAAACUCUAUUUAGAAGAAAUCUCAAGUGAUAUUUUCCUUUGGCACUACCGAGGAUACAGUCUUCCACCAAUGAUACGCAAUAUCUUUUAGGAGGGACACGGCACACUUCAAACGCUCCUCAGGUGUGCACGACAAAUCAUCUAACACUGGUGUAGUAUUCUCAAGCCAAAACUCGGCUCUUUCAGCAUCAUCAUCAACUUUAGCUCUGAAUUCCUCAGCCCCAUACUUUCUAAGCUUAUCAACAGGGGCUUUACCAAUUCUUACCGGUGCCCUACCUCGUGGCACAUCCUCAUUAGGUUGGUUAGGGGGCGGGGGAGGUCUUGGUAUGUUGGGGCGAUUCCUCAGGUAAUCCCCAAACCAUUCGUCCUUCAUAAGCCUUCUACUACUACUAGUAGAUACAGCUCGUUGUAUGAAAGCUGGAGCAUGGCUCUCAGCUCCCUCGGACUCAUCUUGUGUUUGAUUGGAAGACAUUUACUAUAUUCAAAACAAUUUAAACAGUUAGGAGACGUCAUACUAUCAAUAUUCGAAUGAUGGUAUGUAUAGCAAACCUCAAUACUCUCUACGAUAGUCCUAGAACUGACUAAAUCGUAGCUCUGAUACCAUUAAAUAUAACACCCUUUACCCGUUACUUGAGAUUCUCGUUCAUAAACAUAUUAAAUCUAAUCACUAAGUUGCACUCUAAUUUAAAACUAUUCAAAUAUGUAUAUCAUUUCCCUUAAACAAGCCUUCGAGACCUGAAACAUGCCUAGAUGCAGUACGGGACAAAACCGAAAACGUUUGAUAAACUUGGGGCACCUUGGAAAAUUUCUUUUAACUUGAAGUGUCACACGCCCGUAUGACUUGGGACACUCCCGUUCAAUCACCCCGUGUCCAAGACUUGAGCAUUCUAUUAAAUUCACACGGCCAAGACACACGCCCGUGUGUCUAGCCCGUGUUCAUUUAACAGACUUACCAUUUUAGAUGCAGGGGACACACAACCAUGCCACACACCUACGGGUGUGGCCCGUGUGUCAUACACGGCCUAGGCACACGCCCGUGUACCCAACUGUGUAAACCCUAUUAGGCUAUUUUCCAAGCCUAUGGUCACCCCCUUUUUAACACUUAUACUUAAUGAAUAUUAAAAACGAAGUAAAACAUGAUUAUGCUCUUAUAAAUGAUCUUUGCAAAAACUUAUUACGUGGAAACCUCAUAUCAUUAGUUUCGUACAUGCUAGGUUAUUUCCCAUCUUGUAUUUAUGUGUUGCCAUACCACUUUAACACAUUCAAGAUUGGCUCGUUCUUAUGACUCAUUGCCAAUUGGAAUUCAACCAUCGCACAUGAUUAUAAACUUGCAUGGAAAUUUUGUAGGUCAUAGCCUACUUCAAAAUAAGCCAAUCUCCAUGGCAAUAUACAAAAAGAUAGAAUUAUCUUUACAUGCUUUCAUUUGGAAAAUUAAAUGACACAUAUAACAAAAUACUCAAAAGACCUAUACAUGCCAUUGAACAAAUCAAAAAUGUCUUUAUACCAAAGCUGAGCUAUUUGAUAAUAUGCUGACUCUCUAACCGUCUUCAAUCUUUACGAGUCCUCGAGCUCUAGGAGAGACAGGGAAAAGAGAGGGGUAAGCAUUUUCAUGCUUAGUAAGCUCGAAUAACUGGAAAGUAAACUUACCAAGUAAUUAGCAUGCAAUCAAAUUGGGUAAUAAAUUCAAUGAGCAUAGGAUGGCUUCCCUGUAGCACCCCAAACCCGGCCUAGACGUUAUGGUCGGAUCCGACAUGCCACAUCGAAGCAUUCAAAACAUUUUAUAUUAUUGGUCCAGAAAAUCUUAUUUAGUGUUUUAAAAGAUAAUUUUAUUAUAGGUUAAAGUGAAUGGAAGCUAUGCACCAGGUAGGAAACCGAAAAAGAGGUGGUGAGUCCAUCGGACUGCGUAAGUACCAAGAUCCCUUCGGAUCCAAUCCUAGACAUGCAUACUGCCAUUGUCACACCUUAACGUCAUGGAUAUUUCUAGGAAACCGAUUUGAUUAAGUCAUUUUUAGGAAAAGUGAUUAAUUUUGGAAAACACUUUCAUUGCGGAAGCUUUAUUUGUUGUCGUGUUAUUUUGAAAUCAAUUGUUGUUUUUGAAAACGCACCCUAAAGCUAUCCAAUUUCAACAGUUAAAAUAAGUAAUACCUAUCUUAGUAAUACAUAUUAAAACCAUCAAAAAUAAUUAAGUGGCCUUAUUACAUUUAAAAACCCAAAACUUCAAACGUAAAUAACAGGAUAUCCAUUUCACCGGAAGAAAAUCAAACUUUCAGAAUGGGUGGCCACUCCAAAUUCCCUCACAACUCUAAGCCCACUAUGGUUGGGGAUUUCCUGCGUGGAUGAAAAUAAAAAGGGUGAGUUUGGGGAAACUCAGUGUAUAAGGAAAACCCAUUCAAAGCCCAAGUCAGCUCAAGCCAUUGGGCCUAAGCCCAUUCAGGUAACAGUGGUACUGGGCCAGAGCCCUUUUCAGAUUACAAUAAACUGGGCCUUAGCCCCUUAUUCAGAUAACAGUAUGGCCCAUAGGCCCAUUUCAAAAUACAUGCAACAUCAAUAACAUAUGCAAGCCCAUUUGGGGAGACUACUCAACCCACCAACCACUACACUCCACCCGUACCAGUCAUACACUCCAUGUGGGGAAUAGCUCAACCCACCCAGCCCAACACUCCACAGUUGCAGCCUUGCUGCUCAGUUAACAGUAAAUUGAGGCAAAGCCUCCAGUACGUGGACAAGCCACUUUCAGUACUUCCUCCGUCAAUAUCCCAGUCCCAUGCAUCAGAUAAUAACAACAUGGCAUGCAGUAAAUAACAACAGUCAAACAUGCAUUUAGGUCAAUUUAACCCUAGCGGUAUUUCGAUAAUUUAUCUCCUAGGGAUAAAACUGUAAAUUUUCCACUUUUAAAGGUAUUUCAGUAAUUUAUCUAUUUUAGGGUUUUUCAUGCAUAUUCCUACCUUUCACGUACUAACAGAAUCACGUACCGAGGGUUCUUACCGAAUUGGGCCCGUUGGUCAAUCAUUCCAAUUUUGGCCCAUUAAGCCCAAAAAUAUCGAGGGCACAAAAAUCAUGCACUUUGCAGUCCAAACACUGCAGCUUACCAAAAACAUUAAUCGAUUUACCUCACGAGCAUUCGCACACUCGCAAAUCUACAAAAUAUCGAUUUUUGACAUUUCGGCUUUUUGGCUUUUGCCGAUCUAGACUAAGAAAGAGGGUGUUAGUUACACACCUGUUUGCGACGAUAUGCUGACGAGAUCCACACACGAACUGCCUACAAUUGGAUUACUAACACGUUAAUCUAACUAUUCAAAUACAAACUACGUAUUAACCCCUUACAAUAUUCGGCCAACCACACCUACAAAUCAUAGUAAGCUUAUAAGAAAUCAAUAAGCAACUCAUUAACAAAUUUUUAUCAAUGUUUACCACAUAAUCAUAAUUUCACUGCAAGCUAUCUUCCUGAGCAAUAGUCACUAAAUUAUUUAUAACUGGAGCUACGAAACUCCAAAUCAAGUGCCAUUAAUUUUCCAUGAAAAUAGACUCAUAUAUCUUCUAUCCAUAAAAUUUCAGAAUUUUUUGGUCUAGCCAAUCAAUACCAGAUUUUUCUCAAAGUUUCCCAUGUUUCACUAUUUGACUAAUCUGACCACUCUUCAUUACGAAUCAAAUUUCUCAUUGUACAGAAUUUAAAAUAUGUUCUUGUUUAUUUCAUUAGAACCUAGACUCAAUAAGCUUUAAUUACAUAAUUUAUUCAGCUUCAAAUUCAUCUCCCACAAUUUAUGGUGAGUUUCCAAAGUCACAUUACUGCUGCUGUCCCAAGCAGAUUUAUUACCAAAUCACUCUUUCACACAUACCUUGCAUGCAUGUUAUUUAAACAUGUAUAUCACCAAUCAAUCAUCACAUAUCUAUGAUUUUACUUAAGAAUAAUCUCCAUUUCAUCAUUUUAAAGCACAACAUGUUAGCUGAUUUUUCCCUUUAACAUCUAAGGCACAUGCAUGCUCAUUUGUUUGGCUCAACUUCACCUAUCUUCCAUUUUUUUCAUCAAAAGAACAUGAAAAAACAACCAUUUCCUUAAUUUUAAUUCAUGACUAAAUGCUCACAACACAACUAAAAACCAAAAUAUGCUUCAAGAGUUAAGGUAGAAUCAAGAAGAACUCAUGAACAUCAAGAUAGAAGCCAACUACCAUGAACUUACCUUCAAUUUUCUUCCCCAAGUGACCGAACACUCAAGAGCUUUCUCCUCUCCUUUCUCUUCUCUAACUUUCAGCUAUGAUGAACAAAGAUGGACAAGACUUUGUUCUUUUCACCCCUUUUUCUUUUAAUAAAACUUCAUAUUUCAUCCAUUUAAUUCUUUAAUACAAAAGACAUGAAAUUCUUAUCAUGAAACAUUUACCUAACCCAUUAUCAUGAAACAUUUACCUAACCCAUUAUCAUGGAACAUUUACCUAACCUAUUAUCAAUUUAUAUCAAUUUGUACCAUAAAUUAUGGAUAUCAAGUGUACAUUUUGUCUACAACAACAUGAUGGCUGGCCACUUCAUGUAAAAUGGGAGGUUUGUCAUGCAAAUCCUCCUAUUUUGCACUCCUAUUUAUUUGGUCACUUCAAUUUAGCCUAUAGCAUUUUCAAACAUUUUCACAUAGGUCCUAUUUCAUAAUUUCACUCACAAAUGACAAAAAUUAAGCAUGAAAUUUUGCCAACAUUCACAGAAUUCCCGAAAAUUGGGGCGUUACAUUCCCUAUCACAUACACUCAAUCAAUGAGUUAGUCACAUAACAAUGUAUAAUGAAAGUUAUCUUAGAUGAGCUCAUCAUUCAACAUCUCAUUUUGUACAUAUAAGUCAUGUUAAUCUUGUUGAGUUUCUAGAAAGUCUCGAUAGAAUACUUAUUAACCGUCAAUUCGUAUGAAUUAUCAUUUCCAGUAUGCACUUCCGCGAACAUCACAUCUCAUGGCAGGAUUACCAGUCCAGGCUAAAUCCCCCAUUUUAUGAACUCAUAAGGUGAUGUCAAGAUUACAAGUCCAGGCUAAAUCCCUUAUAACAACAAACACCUUUAUUGAGCUUGGAUCUGAAUUACCAGUUCAGGCUAAAUUCAGAUCCUAAUCGGAUUACCCGUCUGGACUAAAUCCAUAAUGCACACAUAUUCUUCGGGAGGCUUGACCAUUUAAAGGAACACCCGUCCGGGCUAGAUCCUUUUAUAAAUGACAUCAACGGAUUACUCGUCUGGGCUAAAUCCUUACUGCAACACAUGCAGGACUUCAUUACACAUGUCAAUCAUGGUUUAUCCAUCGAAUUCCCUUUUUAACCUCAACCGAGACAUUUAUCACAAUUCAUACUUAAACAUACAUUUCAUAAAAUUUCAUGUUAUUAAUAAAUGCAAUCAUCAUGCAUUCAUAAAUCAUAUAAUUAGGCACAUUGAGUGUUUACUUUAAGUUAUCCGAACUUACCUGGUAUUCAUUUUGGUGUCGUGUUUUGGUUAUUUCGAAACCUUUCGUUUUCCUCGAUCGACCUCCAGAAUUUGUUCCUCUAGGUCUAUAACAAUAAAAAUAGAUCAUAAACACUCUAAAUUAUAUAUUUCAAGUCUAAAUUCCACCCCCGAUCCAAAUGACCGUUUUGCGCCUAACCUUUCACAUUUUUACAAUUUAGUCCCUAGGCUCGUAUAAUGAAAGGCAUGCAAUUUCUACCUUACUCAAGCCUAGCCGAACACUUUUCCCUCUUAUGGUAGCCCACAUUUUUCAUUAUUUCCACAUUCCUGCCACACAUUUUACAACUUUUGCAAAAAGGUCCCUUUAGGGGUUUUUCAUGAAAAUCACCUAGAAAAAGUUGUUUAACACACAUCAAACUUUCAUAUUCCUCCAUAAAACAUCAAAAUACUAGUAACUUAUGCAUGGGUAAAUUUUUAAACAUGAACCCUAGCAUGAAAUAUUGGUAGAAAUGGAGAGAGUAAGCUACCGAAAUCUCAAAAUUAAGAAGAACAUUAAAAACGGGGCUUGAGAACACUUACUAAUGAGCUUGAAAAGCUUGGAAACCCUAGUUAUGGUGGCUUGGAGAUUACGGCUGGACAAGGGAGAAAAAUGGUUAAUUUUUUCCUUCUUUUCCCAUUUUAUUUCAUUAAUAUGCCACAUGACCAAAAUGCCCUUAAGCCCUUUCUUUGAAAUUUCAUCAAUGCAAGCCCAUUUUUGUCCAAAAACUUAGAAAUUAGAAAAAUUUCUCCCCAAGACCUUCUAUUUUAUAAUCUAAAGCAAUUUCAUACAAAUUGCUUCUAGAAUCCAAGUUUUGCAAUUUAUUCAAUUUAGUCCCUAAUUUUCCAAUUGGGCACUUACUCAAAGAAUUCCUUCAUGAAACUUUAACACAUGUAUAUUCUCAUAUUCUAAGCCUCGUAAUAAUUAUAAAAUAAAUAUUUUGAUGUCGUAUUUGUAGUCUCGAAACCACUAUUCCGAUUAGGCCCUAUUUUGGGGUGUUACAUAAUUUACCAACUCCAAUGUCUUUGGGAAAAAUUUUAUUGCACAAGACUAUUAUAUCUUCCUCACUCAUAUGACCUAGUUGCAUGUGCCAAAGUUUUGUUGAGUCGGAAUCGAUGAAGAAAGAGUCACGUCGUGUCGCCGUGACGUGGUGGGAAUUUCGACUUUUCUUCAGUAAUCGCAGCCACACCAGUAAUUGUUGACCCUUGCAAAACGUAUAGGCUGCCCUUUUCCUCUCCCCUCAUCAUAAAAGAGCCUCAGAGAAACUUUUAAGUCAUUUGACUCAAUGACUAUCCUGCAACCAUUAGAAUCCAAAAUUCCCAAUGAGAUAAGAUUUUUCUUUAAAUCAGGAACAUACCUGACAUAUGAAAGUGUUUGAAUAAUCCUGUCAUGCAUCUUAAUUUGUAUCGUUCCAAUUCCGAAUAUUUUACAUGGGAGAGUUAUUCCCGAUCAGCACAACUCCACCUUCAACUUAACUAUAUGUAGAGAACCAGUCCCUGUUGGGAUACAUGUGACAGGAGUACUCUGAAUCUAAGUUCCAUUCAGAAGUAAGAUGAUAGCUUUUGCUCGUUGACACCAACAAGAAAUUAUCACAUUUAUCCUCAACUACACUAGCAUCAACAACGUCGGCUUUUUGCUUAUCUUUCUUAUCGUUUUCAUCAUCAUUUUUUAUAUUAUUUUGAAAUUUCCAACAUUCUGCCUUAACAUGGCCCGCCUUUUUACAAUAACCACAAUAUUUGUGAUGAUUUCUGGAGUUGGACCUUGCUUUAGACCUAUUUUGAUCUGUCUUUCUGGUUUGUCAUUUGCCUCUUGCAACUAGAACUGAGGUUUGCCCGUAUGAUUUUUUGUUUGGGCUUAACUCAUUAUUGAGUUUAUCCUUACUCAGAAGAUUCCCCUUCACAUCCUCGAACGAGUGAUGGUAUCUCCCAUAAAUCAAAGUUUCCCUGAAAGUUUUAUAAGAAAAAGGCAAAGAGCAUAACAAUAACAUAGCUUGAUCCUUAUCACUAAUAUUUGCUUCGAGAUUCUAUAAGUCUUUAAAAAGGGUAACAAACUCGCUAAUAUGAGUUUUGAUGGACUCACCUUUAGCCAUUCUGAACAUGUAGAAAUGUUGUUUUAAUACUAACCUGUUGGCUAGAGAUUUUGUCAUAUAUAAGGUUUCUAGUUUCUUCCAUAACAUAAACGAUGUUUUCUCCUUCAAAACCUUCUAUAACACAUUAUUCGUGAGAUAUAAUUGAAUAAUGGAUAGAGUCUUUUCAUCGAGCUCUUCCCAUUCUGACUGAUCCAUAUCUACGAGCUUUUUCCCUGUAAUGACCUUUUUCAGACCGUUCUAAACCAAUAUUGUUGUCAUUCAAACUUUCCACAAACUAAAAUUUACAAUUCUUCAAACUUCUCAAUAUCAAACCUUGACGUUGCCAUCUCUAAACGGGUUGACUGUAAAAAUUAAACUAGCUCUGAUACCAUUUUGUGGGGGAAAAACCCAUUAAGCAAUGAAUAAAGUAAAUAAAAUAAGAAUCGAAAAGAUCGAACAUGUAAAUUUUGCAUGGAAAACUCCUCAAGAGAGGAUAAAAACCACGGGAAAAAACAAAUUUCACUAUAAUAAAGGAGAGUACAAAAGAUGGAGGAGAGAAUUAAAAGAAAACCCGAAGCCCUUCAAGAAAAACCCUUCAAAACAAAGAAUAAAAUUCUCUCAAUCUAAAUAAAUUUUUGUUAUGUAAAACCUAGAGUAACUAAGGACUAUUUAUAGUUGAAAUUUGUAGCAUAUAUGACUACAACAAUUAGAGUUUAAGUGGGAAAGUAGAAACAAAGUUUAACUAGGAGAAAAAUAAAUUUUGGUCAAAAUAAGAGGCAUUCUUCCACACCUUUCCAAAUAAUACCUUAAGAGAGUGUCACAAAGUUACCCAAUGGAAUAGCAAGAUACAAAAGCUUAAGAUACUCCAAAACAGCAAACAAAGUGAGACCACACUAUUGCCUAUUUAUAGGCGUCUACAAGUGAUUAUAAGAUAGUGUUUUGAUAAGCUUUAAACUCUCCUUUAAAAGUUGAAAUUAUCAAAUUAAUUAUCUUGAAUAUUUAUCACAUAAAAGACUUUAUAACCAAGUUUUCCAAUAGCUUCAAACACUCUAAAAGGUAAGGAUAAGGAUAAGUGCCCAAAUUUCGAACUCCUCUCCUUCCUAGGCUAAUCAAAUGGAUGAUAAUCAUAUUCCAAUUUACCAAGAAAUUCUCUUAUCAUUUGUUGUUAACUAAUAUUAGAACAUAAGCCAUUAAAAGUCAAACAUGCCAACACCCAAAAAUGUUGAUUGCUCCAAAAAGCUUGUUUUAAUUGUUGUUCAAACAAGUCAGUACAAUUUCCAACAAAAAUUAAUAAUAACUAAAAAAUAUUAAAAAAUAAAAAAAUAUAUUUAAUAAAUGAAAAAUCAAAUAAAACCUAAUAAAAAGCUCAACCUUUUGUUAAAAAAAAUCAAAUAACUGAUAGUGUCUAGGAGAUGAGGAGUUAUACAUUUAAAUAUAUUGUAUUAUAUUAUUAUGUCGUAUAUUAAAUUAACAUUUAUAAUCUUUUUUUUUAAGGAAACCGUUAGUCUCAUAUUUUCGUCUUCUGUUUUUUUUUUCCGGUUAACAACAAAACUAGAAAAUACUGCACUUACACAUGUAUAUAUGUUGACCAUAUCUAAGAAAUAUGUUACUGAAUCAUGUGAAAUUCAUUCCCUUGAGCCAAGAAAAAGGAACGUAAAAUCAUGUGAGUUCACGUGGCAAUUAGGUAGAAAUUAGACAACUUGUCUAUGCUUCAAUCAUUAUGAGGCAAACCAAGACAAGUUCAACUUUUUUUUUAUCCUCUCACUGUGAAACCUUUUGCAGGAAGACUUAGGAACAAUAGCUAAGCCUAAAUCCUGCUAGAAUCACAACAUAUUGUUUUGUUUAUUAAAAAAAAAAGAUGAUAUUGGUCUUUGAUAUGUAAAAUUGAUCUAUACAUGCAUUGAUGUUGAGCAAUUUUUGUUUGAGGAGUUAACCGCUACAUUAUAUAGAAGUAAUUAACGUCUUGGGGAUUUUUUAUGCAAAAAAAUAUAUACAUAAAUUUAUAUGAAAAAUACAUGGUUAAAAAAAUUUGUAAAUAAAGCCUUGACAUGGUAGGUAAAAGUGGAAGCUAUAGGCUUUGAGUAACCAUAUUCAAGACCCACCGUACACAGUUGAAUGUAUGGGUUUUAAAGUCCUAUUAUUAAUUGUUAUGUGUUGGUUUUAGUUUGAUUAAUUAUAUUAUAACUUACAUUGUUUCUGUUUAUAAUUUAUAUUUUAUGUAAUAGAUUGAUUUUUUGUCUUAAUUUUUAGUCUAUUUAAAUGAUAUAAUUGUUUAAUUCUACACUUAAUAGUUACUUUGACCUAUAUUUAUAUUUUAAUUUUUCUGUAUUUUUAAACUUUAAAAAAACAUAUAUUUAUAUAUAGAAAGUUUAUGAAUAAAAUUUCUUUUUUCGAAAAACAAUAGAAAGCAUACGCAUUUAAUAUUUGGCAAAAAUAAAGUGAGUAAUGAAAGAUUGAAUUAAGGCAAACUAUAUUUGAUAGCAUCUUUGAUUGGUAAAGCCACCAAUAUCAGAAAACCGGAAACACUAAGACUAAUACGAUGCAUUAAUCAGCGGAGUAGUUCAGCAUUAGUGAUGAAGAUGAAAGUGGUAGAUACAAACCUUUUUCAAAGCAUUAAACACACUCAACCAUAAGCUGAAACAUGAAAAAGAAAGAAAGAAACCUUGGCAUUGAAUUGGGCCAACUACCAACGCCUAACCAUAUACUAUUCGUACGUGUUUCUCAGUUCUUUUGAUAUCCCUUCACUCAACUUUUGGCUAUAAAAACCCUCCUACGCUCAAGCCCUAACCACGACAAUCAGCUAUAGUACUUCUACUCCAAGCAAGCAUUUUCCUUUUCUUGUGAUUAAUCGAUAUGGCUAGCUCAAUGUCCCUUAAGCUUGCAUGUGUGGUGGUGUUGUGCAUGGUGGUGGGUGCACCCCUGGCUCAAGGGGCCGUAACCUGUGGUCAAGUCACAAGCUCCCUCGCACCCUGCAUUAAUUACUUGAGAGGGACUGGUGCUGGUGCUAUUCCCCCAGGUUGCUGCAGCGGCAUCAAAUCUCUCAACUCCGCCGCCCAAACAACACCAGACCGGCAAGCAGCUUGCAAAUGCAUCAAAAGUGCGGCCGCCGGCAUUCCUGGCAUCAACUUUGGCCUUGCAAGCGGACUACCAGGCAAGUGCGGUGUCAACAUCCCUUACAAGAUCAGCCCUAGCACUGACUGCAGCAGGUUCGUAUGAGUUGUUUCAUUGCUUAUGCUUAUUAAUUGCUCAACAUUUAAUGGUGUGUCUUUUGUUGUUUCAUUUGCAGCGUCAAGUGAAAUUUUGGCAUGGAAUGUUCAUCAGCUAGUGGAAGCCAAAAUAAUGAUAGCUACAGAAUAAAAAUGGAUGUUUAAAAUCCAUCCGUAGGGAUAGCAGAGGAGUUAUCCUAAUUUUAGAGUUGUGCGUUGUGUACUAGGUCGGUUUUUGCGACUAUGUAAUACUAUCUUUAUCUACAAAUUAAUAUCACUCAUUAUUUUGUGUUUCUUCUAUAUGAUAUUUAUCUAUAUACCCUUCUCUCAAGCAUUUUAUAUCAACAUUCACGUGGUCUAAUAAUAAUGAAAAUCAUGAUUACUCAACCCUAAGUUUAAUUAAAUCAAUUUAUGCACCGGUUCUGUUCUUUAGUUGCAUGUACCGGAUGCAAUUCCCAUUGCAAUCUGUUUUGUAAUUGAAAGGUUAUACAACUUGCUAUAUAUAUCGACAUAUUUUUAAUUGAAAAAUUUUGGGCUCAUUCUUAAUUUACUUUAAAUCUUUAAAGUGGACUACUCCUUUGGAGACAUUUCUUUUUAAAUGAAAAUAUUAGAAAUACAAUUAAGAGAGAUUAUUCAUCUGAUCAUGUUGAAACACGGAUCAAAGUUCAAAGUUCAUGAUCAUUACGCACAAAACGUUUUAUGAAGAUUAACUGAUUAAACGAGAUUAUUAUUUGAUCCACUUGAACUUGCCUGACUCGUGGAACACAUGGAAAAGUCUAUCUACUUAAACCUUUGGAGGUUCAGUGAAACUCUCCAGUAAAAUUAGAGUUACCAGAGUAAUUAAUGUAAAGCCUAAGGGAUAAAAAUGUAUAGAGUUUAAAUCUCAUAGGACUCUCAUCUUAUAAAUAAGUACUAAUAUCAGUCGUCGAUAUAAUUUAAUCUGUAUCAUUGGAUCUAGGGGAGCUCAACUAUAAAUAGAGACCUCCUUCAUUUGUAAUCAUCUCAUUGUACUCAUGAACAAAGCCAAAAAUAUUUUUUUGGGAUAGAAUUAAAUUAUAUAUUUUUACAAUAGUAAAAAUACAAUUUCACUAAUUUAAUAGUUAUCUUUAUAAUUUUUAAAGAAUUAAAUCAAAUUUUUAUGAUGGGGAAAGUGAAAUUUUACCAUUAUUAAUUUUAAAUUUUAUAAAUUAUAAAGGGAUAUAAAUGAAAUUUUUUCUAUUUUAGAAGGGAGGUCCCUACCAGCCCUCUUAGUUUCACCACUAAUUGUACUUCAUUCCUUCUUGAGUUAAAGAAUUUAUUAAGAGUAUUUACUCAAACACCUUGUAUACAUCGUUUUCUUAUAUCUUUUCAAUUCUCUUAUUGCUCUUUCAUUUUAAGUUACUUCCACAAUAUUUUUUGCUAACAUAGAGAAUUUUUAGGAAAAUUAUCACUUUUCGAGGGUUAGGUUGACUUAGGCAAAUUUAACGAAAAGAAAUCACUUAAAACCACACGAUUUAUUUAAAUUCUAAUCCCAUAACAGUAAAGUUUUGAUAUUUGAGUAACUCAACAUUUAUGUUUCAUGAAAAUAAAAAUAAUGAGAUUCACUCCUUACAAUAAAAUUUCUAUGUUGCACCUAAUUUACCAUUCACAAUAUGAUACUCAUAAUUAAGAUUAAUACAAUACAUGGGUUUGUCAUAAUGUAAUCUGAAAUAAGAAAGUAACAUUUUUUAAAUAAAUAUAAUUAGAAUCUAUUUUAUUAGUUCUGAAUUUUCAAAGUUUAUAUUAGUUUAAAACGGUUUUAAUAAUUCUUAGUUACAUAUCGCUGAUUAAACUUUUAAAUUUAAAUUCAACCGAUUCAUCUAAUAUAAUUCUAACAACAUUAAUAUAUAAUUUUUGUAUUUUUAUAAACACAUAAUUCUAAAUAUAUAAAUUCUUAAGUUGGUGAAUUGUUUAUUUUACACUAAUUUUAUAAUAAACUAUAUGCUAAUGAGAUAAUUUAUUUUACUAAAUUAUCAUUAAUGCUCCCUGAUUAGGAAUGUGCAUACAAAUUUGAAUAUCGCUGAAGAGAUAGCGAUUGUUUGUAAUAGAGAUUUAUCGUAUAAGUCUCAUCAUAAUUUCAUUAUCUUAGAAUCUAAACACAUUUUAUACAAAAAUGUUAUUUUAAAAUUAAGUGAUGUUUUGGUUGAAAUAAUUAAGUCAAAAUUUUAAACUUAAGUUUCAAUUUUAUUAUAGUAUUUUUUUAUUUAAAAAUAUGAAAAGGCAAAAAAUACUCUCUUAUUAAUAUUUUUUUUUAUUUUAUAUUAAAACUAUUUAGUAAAUUCUCAAUAGAGUUAGUAGCCGGUUGACUCGUGACACCAACUCAACUAAGGCUUAAUAUAAGUAUAAAUAGAUGAGUAAAUUUAGAAUAAUUAUUGUUAAUGUAACUGUAAAAAUUUACCAUUACAGUGUAAUGGAUUUUAAAGGGUUGAUUCUAAAAUCUGACUCUAAAUUUUUCAUCGAGCUUUGCUCUAACAACACACUUAGACGAUGGGAUCUCUCCAACAUUCUCGGUGAAAUUAAUUUUUUUGCUACAAGUAACCAACGAGGAAAGGGUGGAGGAGAAGAGUCUCGAUUCACCUAUGAUAGGAUGAGUUAAGGAGGGAGAGAGCGAGAGAGCUACAGUUGUUGUCUAGGUUUUCAGGGGAGAAAGAGUCGAUGCUUGGUUCCUCAUGCACCAGAGCUUACAUAGGGGAUCACCCAUUGUCCUGUAGUGUCGCGUAACUGACAAUGUUGUGUCCUACAAGAUUGUGCGUGCCAGCCAAGUGACAAGGCCGUCAUAGGUCAAUUGUCAUUAUAUAGUGUAUUGUGUGAUCCUACUCUAACAUUCUUGUCUUUGGGGUUGUACGAGACUAUUACGCUUUAGUGGUCCUCACGGAACUGCGUAACGAGCUAUCUCUAGGUAGUUUAGAUAGGGUUCAUGGGAGGUCAUUUGUGAGCAAUCCUAAGCGAAGGAUCGCUACGAAAGGUUCUUAACGAAGAGUCAUACGCAAACUGCUUCCAAUGGAGAGUUGUUUGCAUAUUGCUUCAUGUCUUGCCACGUAUUGAGAUGGAAAUAUAACAAUAACAUUAAAUUUUUUUCACAUGGACUCAGAGAAGCUAAUACAAUCCCAGACGCACUAGUUAAAAUUGGCACCCAUAGGAGUCAUUUAUUUCAUGUAUUUUGGGAUAAAUUUUUGGUGUUGUUGUAUGUGUUUCUUUAUAGCAGUGGUAUGCUAGUACAGCACUUGAACAUGCCUUGCACGGAUACUUUUUAUGAAACUGUAAGUCGACUAAUAAAAACGAAGUUAUGAAUAAACUGUACAUCUAUCUACCCACCUUCUUCCCUACCAUUUAUCCCCCGCCUUACUUUGGAAAAGAUUUAGGAGGGUUUCAGAUUUUACAUUUUAAAUUUUAGAUUUAUAUUUCAAAAUCCAUAAUCAUUUUUUAAAUUUGUGGAUCUACUCUAUUUAGUUGGAAUUUUAAUAAAUCUAGAAAUUUAAUAUAUUUAUGCUAAUAUACGCAUUACAUUCAUUUAAUUUAAAUAUAAAAUGACAUUAAAAUAUACAUGAUCUGAAACAUAUUAUUAUUAGACUUUUAGUCCCACCAUUUGCAAAUGUUAUUUGUGAGUUUAAAUCUCAUCAUGUAUUGGUUCUCUUCAAAAAAUUUUGAUUUAAAUCUAAAUAUAUUUAUGUUAUCAGUUAGUUAUGCUUUGUACUAUAUAUAUUCUAUUUUUAAUUGAUCAAAUAUAUAUUAUUUUUUAUUGCACUAGUAAACUAUUUAAAGAAAAUGUUAUUAUUAUUAUUUCCUUGGCUUUUCUUUUAUUUAUUUGGAACAUUAAAAAAUGAAAGGCUUUUCUUUAACUCCAUAUUCGUAUAACUUUUUUUUUAAAUAUUAUAACUAAUUUUAUAAUGCACACAAAAAUAGACAAAGAAUUUAUAAUUUUUUUUUAAGAAGACAGAAUUUAUAUUUAAUAUAAAAUCAAUCCUCGUUGAAUAGGAUUGCUUAUUACGACACACCUGUAAGCUCAUUAAAAUCAAUUUGGGGUUAGUAGAGAUAUAAAUCAUAUCAUUAAUUAUUUUUUUAUAUUGAGUCGGUGUGAUUUAUGUAAUUUAUUAUUCUAAUUCAUUUUAGGGAAUUUUUUAUGUAUAAAUCUUGUGUUGAAAUCAUAUAAUUUAUCUUACAAUUAUGAAUUUAUCUUUUGACGCGUCGAAAAUUAUUUAUUUGAAGGUUUUAUUAAAAAAUAUUAUUUAUAUUAUUUAAUAUUAUCGUCAAUAACUUUUUAUCCAGUGACUAGAAUAUUAUGAUAUAAAUAUUAGAGUUUAGGUUUGAUGACAAAUAAUUUUAUUCUCCACCCUUAAUUAUCCAAUAUAUAUAUAUUUCAUAUUACUUAAUUUUUUUAAAGUCAAAUUUUAUUAAAGAAUGAAUAUGAAAAAAUUAAAAAUAUUUCUUUUCUAAAAUAAUUUGACAAGCAAUAAAGCAUAAAAAAAAUUCCAUAAACAAUAAUUUCGAAUAAUAAAUUAUAAACUUUUGAUAAAGAUGUACUCAAAUAUCUUAAUAACUAAUAAUAAAAUAUGUAUAUAUUUUUUAAUUUCAUGUUUAAUUUAAAAUUUUUAAAAUAUUUCUUCAUAUUACAAAUGUAAUUUGUCUCCCUUUUUUACAAUAGUUGGAUCACUCUUCAUAAUAUACACAAUAAUAUAUUAUAAAGCAAUUUAUAAACAAUAAUAUAUUAUUUAUAAAAUCUUUUAAAAAUUAAAAAUUAAUUCACACGAUGAAUCUGUGCAUCUAAACAUAUCAACUACUUAAUAAUAUAUUUUGCAUACAAUUUGAUAAUAGUCCAAUUUGAAAAAAUAUAUAUUUUUGUGCUUUCUCAUAAAAUUCUUAAAUAACCCAUAAAAAGAUAUUAUAUGUUUUAAGUGCAUCUGAAUUUUUUCAACUUUAGAGUUAUUACAAAAGCAACAAAACCAAUUAAAUUAAUAUUUGGUUGGUUAAAGUUUAGGCGUUAAUAACUUAUUUUAUAUAGAUAUAAAAACAUUCAUACAUUCGUAUAGUGUUCAUAAUAUUUUUAUGCCAUUUAAUGUAUGAAUUGAUUUUCCAUAUCUUCUUUGUAUUGUUAAUUUUAACACUAUAUUUUUUUACAAAAAUUUAAAUUUUUAUACAUAUAUAAUAUUAAUAUAAAAUUUAAUUUAAUUUUCAAAAAGCUUUGAGCCAACAUAUUCAAAUUAGUCAACAACCUAACAAAACAAGUGGUUGAGGUUGCUUGUUGGCGCUGAUAUAGAUCCGACUAAUGUCAUUCACUACGAAAAUAAUGGAAAAGGCCACCUGUGGGGCCAACUAGGUAGAUAUAUUAUGAAUUGAAUGACAUGUGGCUGGUUGUAAUACCUCAUUGCAUUCAUUGCUUCAUUCACCCCCUAUUGAAAGUGAUAGAUUUUUUCUUUUAGGGAGAUUUAACUUACAAAUUCAUACUCUCUUUUUUUUUUUAUCAUAAGAGGUGUUUAAACUGUUUUUUUUUAAGUUUGGUAUUUCGGUUUAAUCAAAUUAUUAAGUUAAAAAAAUUUUAACCCAUUAAUUAGUAUCUAAGCUACAUAUUUUUUUCAAAUUGAUACCUAAACAUUUUUUUAUCCUACGUGGUACUUAAAUUAUUCUUUCAUUUUCCAUUUAAUACCAAAAUAUUAUAUUCAUUAAAAAAAUCUAAUCAAUAAUAGAUUGACAUGUAAAAUUUUAAAAAAAUAAUUAAUUCUUCUCUUCUCUUCUCUUUUUUUUUCAAUUAUUUCCCUCAUUUUAACUUUUUAUUUUUUUUUUCUUUCUUCUUCCUUUAUAAUGUCUAACAAUGACAACAAAUGCAAUGCUCAAAAUUCGCCCUCGUGAGGUUAAGACUAUGGAAAUUAAUUUUCUUUUCGAACUAUAUCGCUUGUAUGUUAGACCUGACGAGAUCGUAAAAAUUCUUUCAUUGAUCAAAACCAAUUUUUUUUCAGAAUCAGGCUAACAGGUCAUACUUUUGUAGGGGUGAGCGUCUAAUCGAAUCAAAUAGAAAAAUUUCGAUUUAAUCAAGUUGACGAGUCCUAUUUUAUCAUCUUAAAAUGAUUUAAAAUUUUAUCGAAUCGAAUCGAAUAUAUUUGUCUCCAGUUAAUUGAAAAAAAUUCUUUGGAUCCUUGUAGCCACUGUCACUCAUCAUAAUCAAAUUUGUCCAUCGUAAUCAAAUUUGUUAUUAACUUUCAUCCCUUCAUAAUUUAUUUAUUAAUCUUUUAUAUACGGGUUAGCUUCUUUGCUUGCUUAGUUGCUUCAAUUAUCUUUUAAUUCUUGUCACUGUGUAUUUUGAAAUUAAAAAAUAUAUUAAAUGUAAAAAAAUAUUUUUUUAAUAAAAUUUAUUUUAAAGAUAAAAUGUGAAAUUGGUACCAAUAGAAAGUUUUAACACAAAUAUUGUAUGACAUCACCAAUGAUACAAUUUUAACAGAAAUUGAUAAAGAUUCAACAUGAUUAAACAACUUAAUAAUAUAAAUAAUACAAAAUGUGAAAUUUAAUUUAUAAUAUAAAUAAUAGCCAUAAAUAAAAUUAUUACUAUUUAGGUCUAAGGAUUUUUUUUGGAGGAUUUUGAUUUUUGAUUUGGGGAUAAAGGGUGAGAAGUAAAAGUUUUGGGGGAAAAGUAGAAGGGUUUGGGACGGGGUAGGGGUGGGGGUGGGGUUGAGGCUGGGGGAAGGGGAAUAAAAGUUUCGAGGGUAAAGUUUGGAGGUUUGGGGUUGUAACACCCCAAACCCGGCCUAGAUGUUAGGACCAAGCCUGGAAAGCUACAACAAAUCAUUCCAAAAAAUGUCACUUUUAACUAAUUAAAGUUUAAUUGUCAGAAAAUGUUUAAAUAGUUGAACUAAUGUAGAAAUAUAAAUUUGCAAUCUGUAAUUCAAGAUAAACAACUAUAGUAUAAGUUUAAUUAAAGCGGAAAAUUACUAAGUAAGAAUGACUGAGCUCCCGCCACGGCGACCGGCCUAAGUCGAUGAGUUACCAAAAAUUCAGUCAACAGACAAAAUGAGUCGGUAAACACAACAUGUAAAUUAUAUUUUUAUUAAGCAAAACAACAGAACAUAUCUUCAGUUUUUCAAAAUUCGAACAGUUUUCAAAAUCAUAUACGGAAGCAGAACAGAAUAUGUCAGUUACACACCAUCUCCAUCCAACCCUACACACCAAAAAGGUAUGGAAUGCCCAUUCAUCCCUACACACCACAUAGUGACCAUAUGUCAUGUUCAAAAGGUUACAAACUAAAUUCUAGGACAGAAUGUGAAAGUCGCCAAAAUUAGAUACAUUUACGUGGCUUAGCCACCAAUCUUAGUAGAUUAUUUAACUGCCACAACUUCCUCCUUAUUCAAUCCCAACCCCAAUGCAGAUGCAAAGUUACAGAUACAGAUAUAAGCAUAGAUGUUACAGAUUCAGAUUAUACUCAGUUAACACAGAAUACAACUAUUCGCUAGUUUACAAUUCUAUGAUGUAUAUAAAAUAAUAGUUUAUACAGAAACAAAUUACUAGUCAAUGGGUUUUAUAACCCAAAUCGGAUCAUACAAACCCUAAGGUAAGCCUACGUUCGACUGGAACGACGUUUAUAGCCCUAACGAAAAAUUUGAAAUUUUGACCCAUACACUUGUGUGGAUUCACAUGUCUUGGAAGGCUGGCCUAUGUGGCACACGAUCUAUAACAUGGCCUGGCACACGACCAUGUGGCUCAAAAAAAUGAGUUACACAGUCUAGCACAUAGUCAAGCACACGUUCAUGUGACUCAAUUCAUAAAAUUUCCUUCAUAUGGCCUGGACACACGAACGUGUCCUAGCGCGUGUGACUCUAAUCCACAAAUAGUAAGUUACACGACCUAGACACAUGCCCACAUCCUUGGCUUGGUGACCCUAAUACACAAACAGUAAGUUACACGGCUAUAUGAUUAACAACCAUGUGUUCCAGUGUUCGCAAAUCAUAAAAAAAUGCGUUUUCUUUAAACACUUGAUGUAGUUUCGAUGUAGAAGCAACACACAAGAAUUUGGAACCUAAAACGACAAUUAAUUGACCAAUUAAACGACUAAUCAACUCAAAAUUCCAAAAUUAGCACUCAAAACUAACGUACGUCGAAAACUUCGAUGCAACCAACCAAAGCAGAAAUUUUCGCUUAUUGACAAGCGAGCAACAAUAGUUCAGACCUAAUUUCGCAGGAAAACAUUACUUUUGAAACCUUUUCCUAAAAGAAGAUCCAUUAGAACUAUUAACGAGAUUUUACAAUGAUUGGCAGUAAUAUCGAACCUCGACGAAACAGAAAAAGUCUAGCAAAAAAUAGGCAGAAAAAAACAACAGAAAUUACGAAAUAUCCUUGCAAUCAACGUAAAAAACCACACAGAUUUCCCAAUUAAGCACGAUAGCAAACUUACGGAAGCAAUCAAGCAAGAAAGGUGUAAUAGCCCAUUUUUAGUAAAAUCAGAACAGUGGUUUCGGGACCACAAAUCUAGAGUCAAAAAUAUAAUUUUAUUAUUAUUUUAUGGUCUACAUCAUGAUAUUAUUACAGUAUAAAAAUUUUGUUAAGAAAUUUUACCGUUUACAUGUUCAAUUUGAUAAAAAGGACUAAAUCGCGUAAAGUGCAAAAGUAGAGUUUUAAUAGCUAAAGGUAUUAAAUAGCUAUAUAAAUUUAAAUUAGAGGUCCUUAUAUGGUAAUAACCCAUAAAUGUGUUAGUGGAAUGUCAUGGCUUGGUAAACUUGUAAAUUGAAAUAAUUUUAAAGGUCAAAUAAAUAAUUAAGUAAAUAAAGGCAAAAUUUAGUAAAAUAAAGCCAAGUAUAAUCUUUUAUCCUCUUUAUUCAACCGAUUAGCUUAGAAAAAGAAGCCAUUUUUUCUCUUUAUGGUUCGGCAAGCUUGUUUCCAUCAAUUAGGUAUGUGUUUUGUCCCCCCCUUUUUUUAUAAUUUCUAUGUUUCUAGGAUCGUUGUAACUUAAUCUAGCUAGCCUGGGAAUUAAUUUGUGAAAAUGUUAAAGUAUUUGAGUUUUACUAUUGAUGAACAUGUUAGGGUUUUGAAGUUUAAUAGUAUAAAAUAAAUGGUUGUUGUUAGAUAAACAACCUUUUUAAAGGAAUUUUUUAUGAAAUUAUCAAUUAGGGAUUAAAUUAAAAAAUAUGAUAAAUUUGUGGUACAAUUUUGAAUUUGUGAAAUAUAUGGGCAGCUAUAAAUAUGUUUAUAGUUCGGCUAGGCUUGGGUUUGGAUAAAAUCGAAUGAAUUUCAUUUUUCGAGCCUACGGACUAAAUUACAAAGUAUUAAAAGUUACCAUUUUGCCAAAAAUGUAUGCUGGACUAAAUUAAAAAUGAAUUAUAUUGAAUUGAGUUAAAUUAAUUCGUAUAGAUCCGGUUAGACCUCGUAUGGAGUUCUAUUAGGGCAAAGGAAAAAUAUCAGAUUAGUCGCCUUCGUAUCUACGUACACUUGUCGAGGUAAGUUCAUGUAAUUAAAUUGUGUAAUUAUAUGCUUUGAUUGAAUUAGAUGUAUGUUAUUUGCAUUAUCAUCAUAAAUGAAUAUCGAUCGCAUAUCUGAUGACGUACGACGAUUACCGAGCCCCAUUUGAACCUUAAGAAUUAGUAGGAUAUAAAUAACAUGUCAUUAGGGUUAUCGAUUUCAGUUCUUAUGAGCUUACCGAUACUCAGCUCGUAUGAGCUUACUGUUAUUCAGCUCGGAGGAGCUUACUGUUUACAGCUCGUAUAAGCAUACAUGUACAUGAGUUGAUGAAUUACAGUUUAAUACACCUCGUGUGUACUACUACAUAUCCAAUAAUAAUCUAAAUGGUUCAACGUGCACUGUUCUGUUAUGAUAUUACAUGAGUUCAAUACGAACUAAUACAGGUAUUUACAUAAGAUAUAUGAAAAUGAUUUGUACAUGAUAUGUAGAUACAUGAUGUGAAAAUUAUAUGUACAUGGAAAUUUGAUAAUUGUUGAGCUCAUACAUGUUUCUUGAUAUUUAUAUGAAUUACAUGACUAAAAUGGUUGAUCAAGAUAUGUGUUUAGGCUUCUAUCCAAAUUGAGUUUGGAUAUGUUUUGUAUGCUUACCUUAAAUGUGACUAAAUGGUAAGUUAAAUUCUAUGUUAUACGAACUUACUAAGCUUAAAUGCUUACUCUGUGUUAUUUUUCGUGUUUUUAGUGAUUCAGAAGCUCGUUCGGGUUGGAAGCUUGUCGGAGCUAUAUCACACUAUCCAUUGGCUCUUUUGGUACACUCAAUUGUUUAAUUUCAGUUAUAAUGGCAUGUAUAUGUUAAUUUGGCCAAUGUUGGCUUAUAUGUGUUUUGUUGAGAUUAGCCAUUUGUUUGGUUUGUGUUAUAGAAUUUUAGAUAUGUUCAUAUUUUGCUUAUUAUAGUUGACGUGUAGUUUGGUUCAUGAUUGAAUAAAGAGUGGUAAAAAGGUAGCCUAAUGUGCAUUUCAUAUAUGUGUUUUGGAAUGUGAAGAAUUGAUCAUGAAUUAGUGUCUGGAUAUGUAAGGCAUAUAAGUUAAAUAUGUUAGUAUGUGAAAUACAAUUUGGCAUCAAAUGAUGUGUUUUGGAAGGCAAGUAAUUUGGUAAGAAAUGAUGUAAAUCUGCUUAAUAAACUUUGGAUGCAAAUAUGCAUAUAAGUGAGUUAAACAUUUGGAUAUAAUGAAUACAUGAAAAUUCUUAUUAUAAGUUGUCAUUUGAGGUGCCUAAGGGCAUAUUGGUUGUAUGUAAUAAUAUUACAUGUUUUAAGCUUGAUUUUGGCUGGUUUUGGAUGCCUAUUUAUGACUUGGUUAUAUGCAAAAUGUUGUGUUUAGGUUGGUACCAAGUUGGGUGAGAAAUGUGGCUUGGAAAAUGACCUAUUUUCAUACACAUGGGUAGAGACACGGGCGUGUGUCUCAACCGUGUAGGUGAUAUGGCCGUGUGUCCCCUGUAUCUUUUAAAGAAUGCAAGUUAGUAUGCUCACACGGCCUGGCACAUAGGCGUGUGGCUUGGCCGCGUAACCCAAGUCAGUGAGUUACACGGGCAUGGACACAGGCUGGGACACGGUCUUAUGUCCCUAUUUCGAAUACCCACACAACCUAAGACACGGGCGUGUCUUUUGGCCGUGUGAGUCACACAGCCUGGCCACACGGCCAUGUGACCCCUGCAGUUUUGAAAUUUUUAUAAGUUUCUGAAAACUUCUCUGAAUUUUUUAUUUAGUCCCGAAUUAUUUCUAAGGUGUAUUUUGGGUCUCGAGGACUUGUAUUAGGGACAAUAUGCAUUAUUAUGAUUGGUUUCUGACAUGAAUACUAUAUGUUAUGAAAUGUUUGAAUUUUCUGUCCAUUUAAAUUGUAAACUUCGGUAAUACUCCUAACCCUAUUCCAGCGACGGAUUCGAGUUAGGGAUGUUACAAAAGGAGAAAAAGAAAAAAUAAGGAAAAGAAUUGUAAGGAAGGAGAAGAACAAAAAAUAAAAAUAAAAAAACUAAAAAUAAGUUUUAAACAAAAACAAUUAUUAAAAUAAAAUUGAUUUCCCGAUAGCACACCAAAAUAUUUCCUUAUUUCUUAUGCAGAGACUCAAACAUGAGACCUUAGGUAAUAUAAAACUUAAUCAUUAAACCAGAUGACUCAUUCUUGACACAAAUUAAUGUAGACACAAACUUAAGUCAAACAUUCAAGAAUAAGAGUUGAAACAAAAGAAUAAUAAAAUUCUCUAAAAGUACGACUUGAACCCUCGAUCCAAAAACCAACACAUAUAACUUAACCACUGAAGCAGAUACUUGCUUAUAAAUAGACACUAAUAGUAACAAUUCAAAAUUUGGGGCGUUACAGGGGCAGACAAAGAGGAAAGAGUAAAUUUUUGGGGGAAAAGUAAAAAUGUUUGGGGUUUGGGUUUUGAGGUAAAAUGUAAAAUAUUAUAGUUUGGUAUUCGGCUUAAUCGAAUUAUUCGGGUUAUUUGAAUUCAAAAACUCAACUUGACUCGAACUUGAAAUUAAAAAAAAUCUAGUUGAUUUGAUUAAUUCGAUUAGAAUAAUUCAAAAUUCGAGCUUUUUUCAAUUUUUUCGAGUCUAUUCAAAUUUUGCUCACCCUUAAUACUGGGAACCAAUUAGGAUACUAGUUUGGAGAUAGGGCUUGAACCAAUUAACCUGCAAACUGAUACAGAUUUAUUGAGCCGAGCUAAAAAAAAACUAGUUGAACUAGUUUUCUCUAUUUUUUAUUUUUAUCUUUAUGAAUUUUUAAUAAUUGAUUUCAUCAAACUGGAUAAAUUGAUUAAACCAGUAACUAAUGAUCUAGCUAGUUUGAAUAUGGUAAUUUUUAAUUGGUUAUCAUUUUUUAAAUAGACUUAACGAUUUGAGUAAAAUUUAAACUAACAAAUGUAUCAAUUUGAGAAAAAAUAAAUUAAGUACCACAUGUGACAAAAAUGUUUAAGUAUCAAAAUAAAAAAAAUAUAAUUUAAAUACAAAUUUGUAGAUUAAGGUUUCUUUUAACAAACUUAACGGAUUAAGGAAAUUAUCAAUUUGAGAAAAAAAAUAAUUUCGAUAACAGUCGCUGGUGACAAAAAAGGAAUUAACUACCAAAAUGAGAGAAAAGGGAAAAGAUUGAUAUAAUGUGAAUUGAAUGACAUGUGGCUGGUUGUAAUACCCAACAAGCUUUAACAGGUGUCACUGAUUAAAAUUAUAUCAUAUGUAUUCUAUCAAAAAUAUAUUAUGUAAAAUUACAAUUUUUAAAUUUAAUAAAAAAAUAUAUUAAAAAUUUUAACUCCGGCCAAAACGUGAAAUAAAUCGUUUUUUAACAGUGUUUUGGAAAAAAAAAUUAGGGUUAAGUACCGAAAUGAUCACUAGAGUAUUACUUGUGUUUUAUUUUGAUUACUAAAUUUUUAAUUAUUUUUAUUUUAGUCACUAAACUAUAUGAAAUCAAAUAUUUUUGUCACUAAAUGUUAAUGACCGUUUGAAAAUUUUUCGAAAGUGUUGAAAUGUGUUAUUUUUUAUUUGUCUAAUAAAAAAUUUAAUCUUCUUUACACAUUCUAUCAAUUUGAUUCUAAAUAUAAAAAAUCAAUAAAUUUAACACCAAAUGUUUACAAAAUUUGUCACUUUAGUUCAAAUUCUAAAAAACAAAAUUAAUAAAUUUAGCUCUUAACAUUUACAAAAUGAAAAUUUUUAAUUUUUAAAAAUUUUGUAAAUUAAAAAGAAAAACAAGUGUAAUAAUUGUAAAAAUUAUUAACAAUUAAAAAAAUCCAUAAAGCCGUUAGCUACCUCAUAGUCAGUGCCAUUUAAAAACAUGCUUAGCCAUAAUAGUACAAGAAUUAAUGAAAAAGUAGAGUAAAAUUCAAAACAAUCAAUCUUAUCGAUAUACUUUUUCAAGGCUUUUAAUGUAAACUAAAAAUUCUUGUCCCAUCUUGUUCUUCUUCUUUUUUCUACAUUGGUUUAAAUUAUUAUUUGCUAUUAAGACAUUGUCAAUUUCAGUAUUUGUCUCAUUGCUUGAUCUUCACAAGAAAUUCUAGAAACAUAGUAUUGUGUUUUUGAGAAACCGUGAACCUUGUUUUGUUAAUCUAGGUUUACACCAAAUUUCAUUAUUGUACUCUACUUGUGAUUUAUUUGUGAUUCUUUUUUCAAUUUCUUGUAUUUGAAAAUAGAGUAUUAGUGAUUUUUUAGUACUGCUGCUAGUUAUGUAUGAAGUUGCUCAAAUUUAUGUGUUUAGCCAAAGGGUAGGGGAAUCAAUGCAUCCGCUACACUUACUUUCAAUGUUUCGCCUUGUCUUGGGGUUAAACUAAAGUUGAAGUCUCAUUUUAAAGUUGAGAGAUUAGAUCGUGGUGAUGAUAAUUAUUUCUUUUUUUUUUUUAAGUUUAUUUAGGUUUGUGUGUUGAGUUUUUUAAAAAAAAAUUUACAAACUUUUAAAAAUCAAAUCUUGUCAUUUUGUAAAUGUUGAUAGUUAAAUUUAUUGAAUUCUUUUAGAAUUUGAAUUAAAAUGAAAAAUUUUGUAAACAUUGAGGGCUAAUUUUGUUGAAUUUUUUUAUAUUGAAGACCAAAUUGAUAGAAUAUAUAAAUAUUAAAAAACUAAAUUUAUUAUUAGACCAAUAAAAAAAAACCAAUUCCACACUUCUUUUAAAUUUCAAACUGCUCUUAACAUUGAGUGAAGAAAAUAUUUAGUUUUAUAUUAUUACCAAAAUAAAUAAAAAUAAAAAUUCAAUCAACCAAAUAAUCUAUAAAUAGAUUUAGAAUGUUGCAUGAUAUAUAUAUUAAAAAAAAGAAAAAAAAACGAUGCAUGUGCCCUAAUGUUGUGAAGUUUUUUUUUUCAUUGAAAAUAACAAAAUAACUAUUUGUUUAUAUUUUAUAUUAGUUCUAUGGCAUACCGCGUGGAAAAGGAAAAUUCAUGUAAAUAAUAUAUUUAUAAAAAUUUAUAUUAAAACUAAAUGAGAUUUUAGUUGAAAUAGUUAAGUUAAAAAGUGUAAAAUUUAUGAGCUAUAAGUUUAAAUCCUAUUGUAGUGUUAUUUAUAAAAAAAAUGAGAAAAGAUAAAAAUACCUUUAUAUUAAUAUUUGUUAUAUUAUAAAAUAAGGAUAUUUUUAACAAAUUUUCAAUUGAAUAGAUGUUUGGGUGAAUCCUAAUACCAAUUAAAGUAUAUAUACACAAACAAUUAUAAAUCAAAUUACUUUUAAUAAAAUGCUAUCAUUCAAUUCAAUGACAAUAAAUGCAUUUAUAAAUACAUCAAAUGUAAAUCUCAUGUUUAUAAGAAAACACGUAGAAAAAAAGUUAAACCAAUAUUUGAGUCCUAGCUGUGGAGGCAUGAUUGAGUGAAAUCAAAUGGACGCUGGUUUUAAUUCUAUUGAAAGAAACCAAUAAUCACGUAGGUUGGCAGUUGAACAUAAUUGAAUGGUCUCAACUUUUAAUGUGGUGUUAAUGUUUGGAUCGGAUAAUCUCAACUUACCUAAUAGCUAGGAAAGUAAAAUUCAAACAUCACCCGCUACUACUUUUGGCUAUAAAAACCCUCCUACCCUCAAGCCCUAACCACGACAAUCACCAAUAGUACUACUACUCCAAGCAAGUAUUUUCCUUACACGUUUGUUUUUCUUGUGAUUAAUCGAUAUGGCUAGCUCAAUGUCCCUUAAACUUGCAUGUGUGGUGGUGUUGUGCAUGGUAGUGGGUGCACCCCUGGCUCAAGGGGCCGUAACCUGUGGUCAAGUCACAAACUCCCUCGCACCCUGCAUUAAUUACUUGAGAGGGAGUGGUGCUGGUGCCGUUCCCCCAGGUUGCUGCAGCGGCAUCAAAUCUCUCAACUCCGCCGCCCAAACAACACCAGACCGGCAAGCAGCUUGCAGAUGCAUCAAAAGUGCGGCCGCCGGCAUUACUGGCAUCAACUUUGGCCUUGCAAGCGGACUCCCAGGCAAGUGCGGUGUCAACAUCCCUUACAAGAUCAGCCCUAGCACUGACUGCAACAGGUUCGUAUGAGUUGUUUCAUUGCUUAUGCUUAUUAAUUGCUCAACAUUUAAUGUGGUGUUUCAUUUGCAGCGUCAAGUGAAGUUUUGGCAUGGAAAGUUCACCAGCUAGUGGAAGCCAAAAUAACGAUAGCUACAGAAUAAAUAUGGAUGUUAAAAUUCCAGAGUUAUGCGUUGUGUACUAUGCCGCUUUAUGCGACUACGUAAUAUAAUCUUUAUCUACAAAUUAGUAUCACUCAUGUCUCCAUUCCCCUUCUUUCAAGCAUUUUAUAUCAACAUUCACGUGAUCCAUAUUUCAUUCCUUAAAAAAAAAAAUUAAGAAAACAAAAAUUAUGAGAUUCACUCCAUAUAAAAAAAAUUCAAUGUGGCACAUAGGAAGUUUAUCGUUUCAUAAUACGAUACCCAUAAUUAAAAAGUUCAUUUAUAUUUGUAACUAGGGUUGAAAUCAUAAAAUUAUUUUUGUGUAAGUUUGAAUUUAUAUUUUACUAAAAAAUAAUCUUUAUUAAUUGUAAAACUUUAUAAAAGAAAAUAUGAGUUUACCUAACCGUAUAUCCCUAUAUGUUGCAUUGUGGGGUUAAAGUCUUUGCAUGAUAAAUCCAUUAUCUUCAUAUAUCUUGUAUUGUGGGGUUAAAGUCUUCGCACGAUAAAUCCAUUAUCUUAAAAUCUUAGAAGAAAAUGAGUGAAUGUUGGAAGUUUAUUCUUAAUGUAAUUCUAGAAACUAAUUUAAUUAUUAUUAUUAUUAUUAUUACAAAUUUGUGCCUUUGUAAAAUAAAUAUAUACUUCUAUUUUUAUUUUUACAAAAUACAAAUAUUAAAUUUUAAACCUUAUAAACUUUUAACCAUAAAUUUUUAAUCGUUAAACCUAAACCCCACCUCUAAUAUAAAAUCCUUUGUCCACAAACUGUUCCAAUCAUUUGGGAAAGAGAAAAUCAAACUGUAAGCCUACUAAUAAUAUAUCGUUAUGAUUAUUUAACAUUUGUUACUUGAUUUUGAUAUUUUUCUUAUAAUUUCAUACUUAAUUUUUUUUAUCCAAUUUCACACUUAAACCUUUUAAAUAUUAUACAAAUUACCUCAAAAUACUAAUGAUAUUAAUUUUUUUAUGAGGGAAAAGAAACAGCUAACGUAUGGUUGUCAUGUGACAAAUGAUAUGGAAUUUAAUGACAGGGAUGAUUACAUUUAUUUGAAGUUUUCUCUAUUUUUUUAAACAAUAUGUUCACAAUUUACAUUUCAUCAAGCCUGAGAUUACUUUGACAGUUAAUGGCAAGAGUGUUACAAGAGGAACCAUAUGCUUAAAGCAUGACCUAGUUUUCAUAAAGCCCUCAAGUCCCAUAAAAAUAGGAAAAUUAUGUUAAAAAAUUGUACCUACGCUUAAUAGAAUAUUGAAAAAUAAAAAAAUAAUUUUAAAACCCAAAAAUAAAAAGAAAUUCAUUAUUAAAUUAAAAAGGUAAAAUAAAAAAAUUAAUUAAACUAAAAGUAAUUCAACAAUUAAAAUACAAAAAAUCAAUCUCAUGUCAUCCGUCAUAUGUUAAUCAUACAUUGAUUAUAUUUGCACCUCAUAAAUAUAAAAUUAUUAUAUUGGAGUAAUUUGUAAAACCUUUAACAAGUUAGAUACCAAAUUGAAAAAAAGAAGAAGCUUAAGUGCUAAAUUAAAAAAUAUAUAUUAAGUUCGAGAAUUAAAUUGAAAAAAAAAGCAAGGGUACCAAAUAAGCUAAGACCCACACUCAACCCGACUCCUAUUAAAUAUCUCUUCGUCUCACUUCGGCAAGAGACAAAGGAUAUAUAGUUUACACUACUAAAAUUCAACUGUAUAUGUAAUAGGCCAAUUUUGGCCUGGCCUAGUUAAUAAAUAAAACCCAAACAAAUAAAUAAUAAAAGUCUAAAAUUUACAGUCCAUUUUUACAAACAUCAGGGCCCAAUUUACAACAUGCAUAGCCCAAAUAAAAAAAAACUACCCAAACCCAAUUACAAAGCCCAAAACAAAUCAACCCUAGCCCACUCAAAACAUUUCAGCAAAAAAAGUAAACCCUAGUCACAUGCCUUCAGCCGCCGCUUCUCCCACACGUUACCCUCGACCACUGCACGCACGUCUGUCACCGCCCUUCCGCACGUCUGACAUCUCUGACGACCUGCAACACGCAAGCGAAAGAAGCCAAGCAGAAGAACCAAGAAGAAACGACAAAAAAAAAGAGGAAGCAAACAGUUUAUGACACGACUAUAAAAGCCGAAAUAAGUCCUUUGUAAUUUUUUUAAGCAUACUAGAAAUAAAAAAGUAGAACAGAAGUUUCGAAAAGGUGUUAUUUUGAUCCUAUUCUUUUUGUCUCGAUUCAUUUUUCUAGUUUCCUUUUAUUUAUUCUUAACACGAAUCUAUUUUUAAAAUAAAAAAAACAAGGCAAAGAUUUCCAAAGGUGACCCUUUUUUUUAAAAUCUAAAAUUUUUCUACCUUUUUUGUUUUUUUAUUCUCAUUAUUUCUCACGAAAAAUAAAGAGAACAGAAAUGAAGGAUUUACUUGGGCUGUUUCGCACUCUGGUCGCCGAAAACUCCCUCUCCGGCGUCGAAAUCGUCUUAGGAAGAAGGUGACAAGGGCCUUUCUUUCGAUUUUCUGGUUAGGAAGGCUUUGCCUUCGGUUUCAUUUUCUUGAAAAAGGUUAAAAAGGCCGAAUUUAAGGGUAGCUCCGACCACCGUCCACGGCGGGGAGCGGAGGUCCGAUGACGUACGAUGAUGGGUUUUAUAAACCCUAGCAGAGAAAAUAAAUGGGAGGGGGGCUGCUUUCUAUUUUUUUUAAAAGAAAAAGAAGCAUGUAAUAGCCCAAUUUAGACCCUAAUCAGAAUGGUGGUUUCAGGACCACGAAUUCGAGUCAGAAAAAUAUUUAAAUAUUAUUUUUCGUGUUUAUUAUAUGUGAAUUUGCAUGUGUGAAAUUUUCGUGUAAAAAUUUGAUUGUUUGUGUGCUUAAUUUAAUAAAAGGACUUAAUCGCGUAAAUUAAAAACUUGAUAGUGAAAAGCAUAAGGGCCAAAUUGUUAAUGGCUUUGUAAGUUGAAGCAUUUAAGUGGCAAUUUGACCAUAUUUAGUUAGAUGGACGGUUGUGACCAUGCAUUAAAAUGGUUUUAUAUUUUUAUAUCUUAAGGUUAAUUUGGUAAAUUAUGAAUUAAUAAUGUUAUAAUAAAACAUAAAAAUAAAACCACCAUGCAUUUGUUCAUCUUUUUGACUGAAAGUUGUGAAAGAAAGAAAAGAAAAUAAGCUUGGUGAUAUUCAGCCAUUUCUCAAGCUUGAUUCAAGGUUAGUUUGGUUUCGGUUUUUGAUAAUUUUUACGUUUUUGAAAUUGUUACUUCGAAUACUAUCUGACCCAUGCUAGAAUUUUUGAUUUUGAUGAAUGUAUUGAGCUGUGCCAUUGAUGAAUAUUUGUGUUUUGUGAUGUUUGAUGAUGAAAUAUUAAAGAUAUGUUUUAGAUUAAUAUGUUUUGUAUUGGAAUUUUUGAUGAUUUUGAGUAAUUAGAACUAAAUUGUAAAAAUAAUAAAUUAAGGGACUAAAAUGUGAAAUAAACAAAAUUUGAGGACUUGUUUGGGUGUGGGGAGUAUUCGGCCUAAGUAUAACAUGAGAAAAUUAUGCUUGUUUUGUGUUUUAUGCAAAUAGGACUAAUUUGUAAAAGUAUGAAAUAUCAGGGGUAAAAUGGUAAUUUGCCCAUUUAUGUGUUGUUGGAUUAAAUUGAAUGAAAUUGUGUUUGAAUGAGAUAAAUUUGAAAUUUUAUAGAUCAAGAAUAAAAGAAAUCGGACUUGGAUCGAGGAAAAACAAAAAUAGUCGAAUAGUCGAUUUACAUCGUUCGUCGAUAUCCAAGGUAAGUCUUUAAGCAAUUAAACAUCAUUAAUUUUGAAUGUAAUUUAGUUUAAUAUACUGAUUCGGAAUUUAUGGAUUUGUAAUAGAGUUAGACGAAUGUGAAAAAGUAUAUAAAUAAUGUAUUUGAGUUUAACUCGAUUGAGUUAUAACAUUUGAAAGUCCGUAUGAACUAUAUGGAAUAUCUGAAAUGUUUGAUAUAUGAAAUGUUUAUGAGACAACUUUAUAAUAAUGAUAUUCGAGCUUUGAGCCUAGCAAGCCUUGUGUUGGUGAAUUUAAUCGGGCUUGACGCCCAGUAGGCUUAUUACCGUUGUAUAAAAUCAGACUUUGAGUCUAGCAGGCCUUGUGCAGAUGUGAUACAGGCUUAGGUCUAGCAGGUUUUAUACCGGUGAAAUAUUAUAAGUCUAUGCCUAAAAGAUUUUAUGUUGAUGUGAUAAAUGAAUAUGUUGAACGAGCUAAAACGAUCAGGUACGUGAUAGCUAGACUACCUAUUUGAAAACAAGAUGAAUUUAUUCCUUGAUAUGUGAUGAAAAAGAAUUCAUGAAUUUAAUGUAGUACAUGUGCUAAUGUGAGAAAUAUAUUUGAUCUUAUAAUUGUACAUGAAGGUAUUGUUAAACUUUGAGUGAUGAGUAUAUGUCUUAAAAUAUAUAUGUAUAUUCGAUUAUAUAAAUCAAUGUGGUUUCGAAUUUCUCAUAUGUAUAUUCGAUUAUAUAAAUCAAUGUGGUUUCGAAUUUGAGAACAUAUUGGUGCUAUAUACUUGUUUAUUCGGCCAAAAAGAAGUUGCCUUAUGAAAGUAUAUGUUUUAUAUGUGUGGAAUUAAAAGUUUGAAAAUAAAAGUGAUUAAAAAUGCAUAAGUUGAUUUAUUUAAUUGAAAUGAUUAGUAAUUAAAUGUUAUUAUGCUUUAAUUGUUUAAUUUGCUUAAGGAAUACUAAGCUAAGUUAGCUUACUUUGUGUAUAUAUAUAUUUGUCUUUGUUUUAUAGUUUUUGGAGAUCGUUACAUGCUCGGAGAUUGUCAGUAAAGUCAAUCGCACUAUUGUUUAUUCUCGGUACCUUUGAAAGUUUUAAAUUCAAACUUAUGGCAUGUAUAGGCUGAAUGAUGUUUUGUUAUGAUGAACUUUGGCUUUGUAUAAAGCCAUGCGAAAGUGGCUUAUUUAAAUGCUUGAAUUUGGUUUUGGUAUAAUGAUGGUUUGAGUCCAUUUUGGUUAUUAUGCAAUGUGUCAAGGAUGAAUGAUACUUGUGAUAUCUAUUUGAGUGUUGAAGAUGCUUGGUAAAUUUGGAUGUGUGCAUUGGAUUGAUUCGGUUAUGGUAUGGAAGAUUCAUGUUUUGUAUAUAUAUAAAUAUAUCUAUUUGAAGUUAAUGGUUUACUCUUGAGAGAUAUAAAAUGUAAUAUGAGUUGGUUUGAAAAUUAUACAAUGAUGUAUCGUGAAUUUAGAUAUAAGAUAAAGGUAUAUGAGGUGGUUAUGUCUAACUUGUGAUUCGACAAUUGCUUUUAUAAAUAUUCAUGCUUGAUGAAUUGACUUAAUAUGUAUUUCAACUAAAAGUAUACUAUGUAGUAGGUAGGUAAUAUGUAGGAUUAUUUGCGUCUUAGGCAAAGUUUAGAUGACCAAAUUGACGAUAAAUAGGUUAGUUGUAAAUCCGCAUUUUUGGUAUGUGACAUGAGUGCAUUUCAAAUCUUUACUUGCAAUAUAAAAUGGUUAACAAUAAAUAAGUAAUUGAGUUAAAUUUUAGUUUGUGAAUUAAGCUUGAUAAGUUUCGUUAUUAAUGUUCUAUUAUAGUUCAUGUUUAAUAUGGUUAAAAAAUAUAUAAGGUUUAUUUGUUUAAUGAAACAAUUUGAUUAUUUGUGAAGAUAUGAAUGUCGUGUAUGCUGAUGAUUAAAUUGUCAUGUGUUAGAUUUUUAUUUGAUUUAAUAUGUACAUGUUUCGAAAUAUGUUUUAAAAUAUUCGAUGUUUAACAGAUAUCCGAAUUUGACUUGUAUUUGUAUAUUGUAAUGAUAGAAUUUCGAUUAAUAUUUAUUUGGACAUUCGUAUAUACAUAUGAAUAUGACUUGUGUGAGUAUUCAGAGUUGUGUUUUUUUCCAGUAAUGCCUUCGAACCCUAAUUCAGCGACGGAUACGGGUUUGGGGUGUUACAUUUUAUUAGUAUCAGAGCUAUAGUUUAGUCGAUUCUAGGACUAAUGUAGCAUGUGUGAGUUUAGCUAUACAUGCCAUAGUGUUUACUGCGAUAAUGUGAUGACUUCUGACAUUGAAAAUGUGUUUUCGUAUUGUAAAUAAAUCCCGACAGAGCUGUAGUUGAUGAUGUCGAGAGUGUAGCACAUGCUCCUGCGCAUGAGACAGCACCAGUUGAAUCUCGGCUGAUCUCGAGUAGCCGUGAAGGGGAGGCUAAACAAGCCUUCUAUCAACUAACGAAUGAUUGGUUUACUCAAUAUAUUUGAACUAACCCGGCUACACAACAACCUCCAUCCCCGAAUAAUUCAUCUUCGAUACCUGUGGUUCCUCCUAUGAUUGAUUCGAUGAGAUUUAAUAAGCCUUCCGUUGAUAAAAUUAGAAAACACGGGGCUGAAGAAUUCAGAGCUACUGAUGAUGAUGAUGCUAAGCUAGCUAAAUUCUGGCUUGAUAAUACUAUCCGUGUGCUUGAUGAGUUAUCUUGUACCCCGGAUGAGUGCUUAAAAUGUGCUAUAUCCUUGCUACGAGACACCGCAUACCACUAGUGGAAUAUACUAGUAUCGGUGGUUCCGAAGGAGCGAGUGACUUGGGACUUCUUUUAGACUGAGUUUCGUAAGAAAUAUCUCAGUUAGAGAUUCAUUGACCAGAAGCACAAGGAAUUUCUCUAAUUAAAAUAGGGUCGCAUGACUGUGAUAGAAUAUGAGCGAAAAUUUGUGAGACUCAGUUGAUAUGCUCGUGAGUGUGUUUCAACUGAAGCUAUCAUGUGUAAAAGAUUUGAAAACGGUUUGAACGAAGACAUUAAAUUUCUGGUUGAUAGACUUGAAAUUAAAGAGUUCGUGGUACUUGUUGAGCGAGCUUGCAAAGCUGAAGAGCUCGGGAAAGAAAAAAGAAAAGCUGAUUUUGAAGCUAGAGAUUUUCGCAAAAGAUCAUUGGGUAAGACUUUUCAAUUAGCAUCGAAGAAGUUCUGAGAUGAUUCUAGUCAAUCUAAAGAUACUGCGAGCUUUUCUAGACGAGAUUGAGACUGACCCCCUGUGAGUUUGCGAGCCACUUCGAUAGUUAGUGUUGGCAAUGUUCGACAGAAUAGAGUCGAGUGCAAGCAUUGUGGUAAAUGGUAUUCUGGAGAUUGCAGAUUGCAUGACCGGUCUUGUUUUAAAUGUGGAUCGAUGGAUUAUUUUAUCCGAGAUUGCCCAAUGUUAGCGAGCAAAACACUGUUCAGAAUGCAAGACCGAGUAAUAUGUCAGUGCGAGGCAGACCACCUAGGCAUUCGGGUAAUGUAGGUGGCAGUCAGAUAGGGAUGAAAGAUACAGCAGUUCGAUCUGAGGCUCGUGCACCUACCAGAGCAUAUGCUAUACGUGCUCGUGAGGAGGCUUCUUCCCCAAAUGUUAUUACCGGUACUUUUACUCUUUAUGAUACUAGUGUUAUUACAUUGAUUGAUCCUGGUUCGACUCAUUCUUAUGUGUGUGAAACAUUAGUAUCCAGUAAGACUUUGCCUGUUGAGUCUACUGAGUUUGUGAUUCGAGUAUCGAACCCCCUAGGCCGGUGUGUUCUGGUUGAUAAAGUAUGUAAGAAUUGUCCAUUGAUGAUUUGAGAUUCAUGCUUUCCAGCCGAUUUGAUGUUAUUUCCUUUCGAUGAGUUCGAUAUAAUUUUGCGUCUGGACUGGCUGACUUUGCACGAUGCUGUUGUUAAUUACAAAAGAAAGACCAUUGAUUUGAGAUGUCAGAACAACGAGAUUACUCAGAUUGAAUCUAAUGAUCUGAAUGGUUUACUAGCAGUAAUAUCUUCGAUGUUAGCUCGGAAGUACGUGAGAAAAGGUUGUACAGCUUACUUUACUUAUGUGCUUGAUAGUAAAGUGAUUGAAAAAAAGAUUGAAUCUGUACUAGUUGUGUGCGAGUAUCCGGAUGUGUUUCCUAAAAAAUUACCAGGUUUGCCACCUGUCUGAGAGGUAGAUUUUAGUAUUGAGUUAGUACCGAGGACGUCUCCAAUUCCAAUAGCUCCGUAUCGGAUGGCACCUACUAAAUUAAAAAGAAUUGAAAGCUCAGUUACAAUAGUUAACAAAUAGAGGUUUUGGACGACCGAGUUUUUCUCCUUGGGGUGCACCAGUUUUAUUUGUGAAAAAGAAAGACGAAACUAUGAGAAUGUGCAUUGAUUAUAGACAGCUCAAUAAGGUGACUAUAAAGAAUAAGUAUCCGUUACCACGGAUUGAUGACUUGUUUAAUCAACUAAAAGGGGCUAAACUGUUUUCAAAGAUAGAUUUGAGGUCCGGCUACUAUCAGUUGCGAGUUUAAGACUCUGAUGUGCCGAAAACUGCCUUCCGAACGAGGUACGGACGUUAUGAAUUUCUGGUUAUGCCUUUUGGACUUACUAAUGCACCUACUAUUUUUAUGGAUUUGAUGAAUCAAAUUUUUAGACAUUAAUUGGAUCGGUUUGUGGUUGUGUUCAUUGAUGAUAUAUUGAUCUACUCCUGUGGUGAAACUGAACAUGCCGAACAUUUGAGACUUGUGUUACAGAAUUUGCAAGAAAAACAGUUGUAUGCGAAGUUCAGUAAAUGUGAGUUCUAGUUACAUGAAGUUAUUUUUUUGGGACAUGUUGUUUCAGCAUCAGGUAUUCGGGUUGAUCCAAGUAAAAUUUCAGCAAUACUUGACUGGAAACCUCCGAGAAACGUUUCUGAAGUCUGAAGUUUUUUGGGACUUACGGGUUACUAUAGGCGAUUUGUGAAAGAUUUCUCUAUGAUUGCAACCUCGAUGACGAAGCUAUUACAGAAAUAUGUUAAAUUUGAGUGGUCUGAAAAGUGCCAGAAAAGUUUUGAUCAGUUGAAAUUCCUUUUGACCGAAACUCCAGUGCUAGUUCAGCCAGAAUCGGGUAAAGAAUUUGUUAUCUAUAGUGAUGCAUCUUUAGAUGGUUUGGGUUGUGUACUGAUGCAAGAAGGCAAAGUUAUAGCUUAUGCCUUGAGACAGUUAAAGCUACAUGAAAAGAACUAUCUGACACACGACCUAGAGUUGGCAGCUAUUGUAUUUGCGUUGAAAAUUUGGCGUCACUAUCUGUUUGGUGAAAAAUGUCAUGUUUAUUCUGAUCACAAAAGCUUGAAGUACUUGAUGACUCAGAAAGAUCUGAAUUUGAGACAACACCGAUGGUUAGAAUUGCUAAAAGACUAUGAACUGGUGAUUGACUAUCACCCAGGAAAUUGACUAUCACCCGGGAAAGGCUAAUGUUGUUGCUAAUGCUCUAAAUCAAAAAUCCCUGUUUUCUUUGCGUGCAAUGAAUGCACAUAUGGUCAUGUCAAAUGAUGGUACGAUAAUAGCCGAGUUAAAAGUAAGACUGUUAUUUAUUCAGCAGAUUUACGAAGCUUAGAAGGUCGAUAAUGAUUUGAUAGUAAAGCGGGCUCAAUGUGAUUUGAACGUUGAUUCAGAAUUUCUAGUGGAUUCUGAGGGAUGUUUGCAAUUCAGAAACCGAAUAUGUGUUCUGAGAAAUACAGAGUUGAUUCAGAUGAUUUUGAAUGAAGCUCAUAACAGUCGGUUAUCUGUUCACUCGGGUAGUACGAAGAUGUGUAAUGAUCUGAAACAGCACUAUUAGUGGCAAGGUAUGAAACGAGACAUUUUUGACUUUGUAUCGAAAUGUUUAAUCUGUCAGAAAGUAAAAGCCGAGCGUCAGGUACCUUCUGGAUUGCUACAGCUGAUCAUGAUACCUGAAUGGAAAUGAGAUAGAGUCACGAUGGAUUUUGUAUCCGGUUUACCGAUGACAUUGAGCAAGAAAGAUGCAAUCUGGUUUAUUGUGGAUAGAUUGACUAAAUCAUCUCACUUUGUUUCAGUUUGUACAGAUUAUUCACUCGAUAAACUUGCUGAGUUAUAUGUUUCUCAGAUUGUGAGACUACACAGAGUACCUAUUUCUAUUGUGUCUGAUAGAGAUCUGAGGUUUACAUCGCGGUUUUGGAAGAGACUGCAAGAUGCAUUAGGUACUAAACUACAUUUUAGCACUACUUUUCAUCCCCAGAUAGAUGGUCAGUCUGAGCGAAUCAUUCAGAUACUUGAGGAUAUGUUGAGAUGUUGCAUUCUCGAGUUUGAAGGUACGUGGGAACAAUACCUACCUCUGAUUGAAUUUACGUACAAUAAUAGCUUUCAAUCGAGUAUCAAAAUGGCACCUUUCGAGGCUUUGUACAGUCAUAAAUGUCGUACACCAUUGUAUUGGACUGAGCUCAGUGAAAAUAAGAUAUCCAGGGUUGAUUUGGUCAGAGAAACUGAACAGAAAGUGAAAGUGAUUCAUGAAAGUUUAAAAGCAGCAUCAGAUCAUCAGAAAUCAUAUGCGGACUUGAAACGUAAAGAUAUAGAGUUUCAAAUCGGGGAUAGAGUAUUUUUGAAAGUCUCACCAUGGAAGAAAAUACUCAGAUUCAGUCAUAAAGGCAAGUUCAAUUAGAGAUUCAAUGGACCGUAUGAGAUUAUAGAGCGGAUUGGGCCGGUUGCGUAUAGACUAUUGUUGCCACCUGAGCUAGAAAUGAUCCACAAUGUAUUCCAUGUUUCAAUGCUUCGUAGAUAUCGAUCUGAUCCUUCACAUGUGAUUAGUCCAUCUGAGAUUGAGAUCAAGCCCGAUUUAAAGUAUGAAGAAGAACCGAUUCGUAUUCUAGCUCGUGAAAUUAAAGAGUUGCGAAAUAAUAAAAUUUCGUUAGUUAAAGUACUGUGGCAUAAACAUGGAGUUGAGGAAGCAACGUGGGAACCAGAAGAUGUAAAGAGAGAACGCUAUCCAAACCUAUUCACCGUUAAGAUUUUCGGGGACGAAAAUCCGUAAGAGGGGAGAGUUGUAACAACCCAAUUUAGACCCUAAUCAGAAUGGUGGUUUCAGGACCACGAAUUCGAGUCAGAAAAAUAUAUAAAUAUUAUUUUUCAUGUUUAUUAUAUGUGAAUUUGCAUGUGUGAAAGUUUCGUAUGAAAAUUUGAUUGUUUGUGUGCUUAAUUUAAUAAAAGGACUUAAUCGCGUAAAUUAAAAACUUGAUAGUGAAAAGCAUAAGGGCCAAAUUGUUAAUGGCUUUGUAAGUUGAAGCAUUUAAGUGGCAAUUUGACCAUAUUUAGUUAGAUGGACGGUUGUGACCAUGCAUUAAAAUGGUUUUAUAUUUUUUAUCUUAAGGUUAAUUUGGUAAAUUAUGAAUUAAUAAUGUUAUAAUAAAACAUAAAAAUAAAACCACCAUGCAUUUGUUCAUCUUUUUGACUGAAAGUUGUGAAAGAAAGAAAAGAAAAUAAGCUAGGUGAUAUUCAGCCAUUUCUCAAGCUUGAUUCAAGGUUAGUUUGGUUUCGGUUUUUGAUAAUUUUUACGUUUUUGAAAUUGUUACUUCGAAUACUAUCUGACCCAUGCUAGAAUUUUUGAUUUUGAUGAAUGUAUUGAGCUGUGCCAUUGAUGAAUAUUUGUGUUUUGUGAUGUUUGAUGAUGAAAUAUUAAAGAUAUGUUUUAGAUUAACAUGCUUUGUAUUGGAGUUUUUGAUGAUUUUGAGUAAUUAGGACUAAAUUGUAAAAAUAAUAAAUUAAGGGACUAAAAUGUGAAAUAAAUGAAAUGUGAGGACUUGUUUGGGUGUGGGGAGUAUUCAGCUUAAGUAUAGCAUGAGCAAAUUAUGCUUGUUUUGUGUUUUAUGCAAAUAGGACUAAUUUGUAAAAGUAUGAAAUAUUAGGGGUAAAAUGGUAAUUUUUCCAUUUAUGUGUUGUUGGAUUAAAUUGAAUGAAAUUGUUUUGAAAUUUUAUAGAUCAAGAACAAAAGAAAUCGGACUUGGAUCGAGGAAAAACAAAAAUAGUCGAAUAGUCGAUUUACAUCGUUCGUCGAUAUCCGAGGUAAGUCUUUAAGCAAUUAAACAUCGUUAAUUUUGAAUGUAAUUUAGUUUAAUAUGCUGAUUUGGAAUUUAUGGAUUUGUAAUAGAGUUAGCCGAAUGUGAUAAAGUAUUUAAAUAAUGUAUUUGAGUUUAACUCGAUUGAGUUAUAACAUUUGAAAGUCCGUAUGAACUAUAUGGAAUAUCUGAAAUGUUUGAUAUAUGAAUUGUUUAUGAGACAACUUUAUAAUAAUGAUAUUCGGGCUUUGAGCCUAGCAAUCCUUGUGCUGGUGAAUUUAAUCGGGCUUGAUGCCUAGCAGGCUUAUUACCGGUGUAUAAAAUCAGACUUUGAGUCUAGCAGGCCUUGUGCCAGUUGUGAUACAGGCUUAGGCCUAGUAGGUUUUAUGUCGAUGAAAUAUUUUAAGUCUAUACCUAAAAGAUUUUAUGUUGAUGUGAUAAAUGAAUAUGUUGAACGAGCUAAAACGAUCAGGUACGUGAUAGUUGGACUACCUAUUUGAAAACAGGAUGAAUUGAUUUCUUGAUAUGUGAUGAAAAAGAAUUCAUGAAUUUAAUGUAGUACAUGUGCUAACGUGAGAAAUAUAUUUGAUCUUAUAAUUGUACAUGAAGGUAUUGUUAAACUUUGAGUGAUGAGUAUAUGUCUUAAAAUAUAUAUGUAAAUUCGAUUAUAUAAAUCAAUGUGGUUUCGAAAUUUGAGAACAUAUUGGUGCUAUAUACUUGUUUAUUCGGCCAAAAAGAAGUUUCCUUAUGAAAGUAUAUGUUUUAUAUGUGUGGAAUUAAAAGUUUGAAAAUAAAGGUGAUUAAAAAUGCAUAAGUUGAUUUAUUUAAUUGAAAUGAUUAGUAAUUAAAUGUUAUUAUGCUUGAAUUGUUUAAUUUGCUUAAGGAAUACUAAGCUAAGUUAGCUUACUUUGUGUAUAUAUAUAUAUUUGUCUUUGUUUUAUAGAUUUUGGAGAUCGUUACAUGCUUGGGGAUCGUCAGUAAAGUCAAUCGUACUAUCGUUUAUUCUCGAUCCCUUUGAAAGUUUUAAAUUCAAACUUAUGGCAUGUAUAGGCUGAAUGAUGUUUUGUUAUGAUGAACUUUGGCUUUGUAUAAAGCCAUGCGAAAAUGGCUUAUUUAAAUUCUUGAAUUUGGUUUUGGUAUAAUGAUGGUUUGAGUCAAUUUUAGUUAUUAUGCAAUGUGUCAAGGAUGAAUGAUACUUGUGAUAUCUAUUUGAGUGUUGAAGAUGCUUGGUAAAUUUGGAUGUGUGCAUUGGAUUGAUUCGGUUAUGGUAUGGAAGAUUCAUGUUUUGUAUAUAUAUAAAUAUAUCUAUUUGAAGUUAAUGGUUUACUCUUGAGAGAUAUAAAAUGUAAUAUGAGUUGGUUUGAAAAUUAUACAAUGAUGUAUCGUGAAUUCAGAUAUAAGAUAAAGGUAUAUGAGGUGGUUAUGUCUAACUUGUGAUUCGGCAAUUGCUUUUAUAAAUAUUCAUGCUUGAUGAAUUGACUUAAUAUGUAUUUCAACUAAAAGUAUACUAUGUAAUAGGUAGGUAAUAUGUAAGAUUAUUUUCGUUUUAGGCAAAGUUUAGAUGACCAAAUUGACGAUAAAUAGGUUAGUUGUAUAUCCGCAUUUUUGGUAAGUGACAUGAGUGCAUUUCAAAUCUUUACUUGCAAUAUAAAAUGGUUAACAAUAAAUAAAUGAUUGAGUUAAAUUUUAGUUUGUGAAUUAAGCUUGAUAAGUUUCGUUAUUAAUGUUCUAUUAUAGUUCAUGUUUAAUAUGGUUAAAAUAUAUAUAAGGUUUAUUUGUUUAAUGAAACAAAUUUGAUUAUUUGUGAAGAUAUGAAUGCCGUGUAUGCUGAUGAUUAAAUUGUCAUGUGUUAGAUUUUUAUUUGAUUUAAUAUGUACAUGUUUUGAAAUAUGUCUUAAAAUAUUUGAUGUUUAACAGAUAUCUGAAUUUGACUUGCAUUUGUAUAUUGUAAUGAUAGAAUUUCGAUUAAUAUUUGUUUGAAAAUUUGUAUAUACAUAUGAAUAUGACUUGUGUGAGUACUUAGAGUUGUGUUUUUGUCCAGUAAUGCCUCUUGACCCUAAUUCGUCGACGGAUACGGGCUAGGGGUCUUACAAAGUAAAUGGCAAAAAAUAAAAAAAUAAAAAACUGGUUUAAAUAGCAAGGCAAAACAGUGCUGUUUUGCACCUAAAGCCCUAACACCAAAACGGCGUCGUAUAUGCCUUGACCCGCGCGAUCCGACCUGCUCCAAGGGGGUUUUGCGCGUUUUUGAGUUAAGGACUACUUGCGCUCGUAGUCCCUUCGAUUUUGGGUUUGUUAUGUUUGGCCCUUUUAUUAUUUUUAUUUUUUUUAUAGAUUUAAUUGCUUAAUUUUAUUUGGUUUUCGAUUGAGUCCUUGGCUCUCUAAUGCUUUGAAAACGGACAUGCAUCCUUAGAGUUAGGGAAUAAUUACAUAUUUAACCCCUGUUCUUUCGCGCGUGUCUUAUCUUAGGCCUUGCUUCCUUUUUUUUGUUUUUUUUAGAUGUGGCCCUUAAUUUUAAUCUUUUUUUUAGUUCGACCCUUAACCCUAUAACAUUAAACUUUUUUUUUAUAUUUUACUUAUUAUAUUUUUUUCAUUUAUUUAUUUUAAACAGUUUUAUAUGUUAUUUAUUUUAGAUUUUUAUAUAUUAAUUCUUUAAACUGUCUUAUGUAUUAUGUAUUUAAAAUUGCUUUACAAAAUUUUUUUAUUUUAAACUUACUUAUUUUAUUUAUUUUUUAAUGCUUUCAUAUAUCGUUUAUUAACCUUUUAUACAUUAUUUACUUUAGAUAUUUUUAUAUAAAUUAUUUAUUUUAAACUAUUAUAUAUUUUAAAUUUUCAUUUAAACUAUUAUAUAUUUUAAAUUUUCAUGUAUAAUAUUCAAUUCAAACUAUUUUAUAGGUUAUUCAUUUAAAAUUUUUGUAUUACUUAUUUUAAGUUGUUUUAUUAUUAUAUAUUUUAAAUUUUUCUUUUUUUAUACAUUAUUUAUUCGAAACUGUUUAUAUAUUAAUUACUUUAAGUCGUUUCAUUUAUUAUACAUUUUAAACCUUUUUUUAUAUAUUAUUUAUUUAAAACUGUCUUAUUAUUUAUUUUAAAUUAUUUUAUAUUAUUUAUUUCAUUUUUCUUUGAUUAUUAAUGUUGGUUUUCUAAAUAAUGUAUGUUAUCUGAUUAUUACCAUUGUGUGAAUACUGUCAUCAUAUGCUUUAGGAAUUAUUUAUUAAUAUUUUCAUGUUGUUGACAUUCAUUGACAUAGCAUUUAAUUCAUGUAUUAUUAUUUCAUGCUCUAUAUUCCCUUUUAUUUCAUUUUGUUUAAAUCAUAUCGCGUAUUAACCUCAAAUGUAUUUAUCCAAAUAUGGACCAUUUUAUUCCAAACAAAAUAAACGCCCAUUGCUAAGUGUUGCUCUUGUUAUUAUUCAAAAAGGAAAAUCUUCAAAAUAAGAUAAUAUUUCGCGUUUCGGGAAUUCAAGAAAUUGUACCCUAACUUACGGGGUUUCGAUUUUCUUGGUAAACCUAAAAAGCUAAAUAUCCUUUUUAGAUUUCAAAAUACGCAAAGUUCUCAAUAAAAAUUAAAUGCAAACUUAUUCCCGAGGAUUAAAACGUCGCAUCUUAACUUACGGGAUGUGACAUUUUGUUAUAUCGGGAUGAGAGGGCCUUUGAUGCUCAUUUUAACUUAAUUCAAGCAUUUUUCAAAACAAACAUUAAUAAAAAUGGAUUGUAUUUUAAUUCUUUUCAAGUUUGCAACAUUUGACAUUAGGACAUUAAUCAAUCAAUUAGGUACCAAAUUUGGGCAUUACGAGGGUGCUAAUCAUUCUUUGUACGUAACCGACUCCCGAACCCGUUAUCUCAAAUUUCUUAGACCAAAAAAUAUUAUUUUAAUAAAUCAAAACUGUUUAUUAAAAACAACCAUUUUACGAGGUGACUUGAUCACACCUCAUCAAAAAAAGAUUGGUGGCGACUCUAUUUUCGUUUUUUUUAAAAAGUUGACUCUUUUUCGAAAAAUGAUUUCAACCGCUUGGCGACUCCACUGGGGACUUUUGAGAGUCAAGCCAUAAAUUGAUUAAUUAUUGUCUUUUGUCAAAAAAUUGAAAAUCCGUUUUAAACUUACAAUCCUUUCAUUGCAUUUCAUUUUUGGGGUUUUCGUCGUUUUGUAUGAUUGGCUUUUGGUUCGAGUCUUAGUAUAAUUUUGCGCAUCAUAUUGCAUAAUUGGUCAAUUUUACCCUUUUAAGUAGGAGUGAGAAACUAUUCCUUCGUGAGGUCUUCACCUCCGUAUAGGAUAGUAGAUUGCUUUUGGGAUACAUCCGUACUUGCACCUUCGUGAGAUUUUUAUCUCCGUAUAGCCGUAGGGAAAUGUAUUCCCCUGAACUGAACUCGGUCCGUAUGAGCCUAUAAUGGGUGAGGAUCGAGGAAUCUUCUGAUUCAGGUACCUUUACUUUUGAACUAAACCACAUGUAAUGAGCCCUAAGAGCCUAUCCUAGGUAGAACCACGCUAAACCCUAGCGGUUACCCGAAUAGGUGCUUGAUUAUUUCCUAUUUGCUUUGAAUUUUAUUUUUUGUAUAUAAUACUGACUUGUUGUGUUUUUCUGUUAUUGCAUGGCAUUACAUUAUAAAAAGGUGUUGAUUCAAAAAGCUUAGCAUUGAAAAGGGGUUUCUUGAUAGAGUGGAGGAUAAUGCGGUCGUCCGAAUAUGGUCCGAGAGGAUGCAGCAAGAGAAAUGUGAUAGUUUGACCGAGGGAUAUGAAUCAGAGUUGUCAAAUUUCACCCGCAUUAGUGUGACUUAGAAUAACCUACAAGAAUUAAAGAAGAUAUGACACCAAUGGAGUGACGAGAUUAAGCAGCUAUUUUACUAUAACUACGGCGACUUGCCCUAUCUACUCGAUAUAAAGGUGGACAAGCAUUUAUUCCAAGCCCUUGCCCAGUUUUGGAAUCCCGCCUACAGUUGCUUCACUUUUGGGAGAGUUGAUUUGGUACCAACCGUGGAGGAGUACAUGGCCUUACUUCGUUGCCUGAGGAUUAAAGCUGACAAAGCUUAUUCCAGAGCUGCUAACGUCCCUACCUUUGUAAAGAAUUGAUGAAUAUCAUGAGGAUGAGUGAGCAGUGGGUUGCAGCUUGGAUUAAGCAAAAAUGAGACAGUAAAUGUAUUCCUUGGAAGAACUUGAGAGAUCUAAUUCUAGCACAUCCGGAUAUGAAGAAGAGGGUUGACGUUUUCGCUUUGAGCAUCUAAGGUUUGGUCAUCUUUCCCAAGGCAUUAGGAAAUGUAGAUGAAGCAGUCUCAGACCUAUUCGAUCGACUUGAUAAAAAGGUCACACCCAUCCCUGCGAUCUUAGACGAAACUUUCAAAUCAUUGAAUGCUUGCCGGAGAGCAGGUGAGGGGAGGUUCAUAGGAUGUGCGCAGCUUUUGCUAUCAUGGUUUCAUAUCCACUUUUGGAGGGUAGAAAAAGUCUCAUAUCGAGUUUUUUUCGAAACUACUCUCCAUUGAAGGAACUAGUGGCUACGCUAAGGCGAGAUGACUUUUCCAAAGAGAAAUGGAUAGCGAUUCUCUAGAAUGUACAAGUUGAAGACGGCGAAUGGAGGGCGCCAUGGAUGAUCCCUGAUGAGAUCUUGUAUCGGUGUGGUGAAUUUGACUGGGUCCCUCUACUUGGGAUAUGGGGAGCUACUGGAUACGGUCUACUACUUGUGCUAAGAUAGUAUCGAUCAAGGCAGUUCAUACCUAUGACACAAGGGUUGGCUCAGUGCAAGUUUUCAUAUAAGAGCGAUAAUUAUAAGAAGAGAGUUCGUGAGAUAUCGAAUGCGUGGAACCAAACCCGUAGACUGAAGGACUCAGGCGAGACCAAUGACGACCCCCGAGUAUGAUUGGUGGUGGGGUAAAAGAAUCAACGACAAUAUCCCAAUGCCAAGUCAAAAAAAUGCUCGACCAAUAGAGGAGCACUUACGAGUAGUCCCGUUUGAAUUAGAAAUCAUCAAGCAAGAUUUUGAGAAAAGGAGUCAAAAAUUGGGCAAGAAAAUAAAGCAGUUAGAGGAGGAAAAGAUGUGGCUAGGACUAGACAUCGACAUCCAUAAGCUAGAGGCUGAGAAACUAAGGAAAGGAAAGAACAAGGCCAAAGAAGAUUUGGACAGUUGGAAAACGUAUUACAAGAAGUUACGUUUGUCAAAAAGAACUGCUGGUUUGGGCAAGACAUUAGAGCAAUGGCAAUAAGAAAUUAAAAAAGAAAAAACUAGAGCCGAUAGUGGGAGAAGAAGUUUCAAGAUGCUCAAACACGGGAUGGUGCUCUAAAAAGGAGUUUGCUAGAUAGCCAAAGUGAAAAGGAGAAGUUAAGAGCUCGGGCGGCAAAGUUAGAAAAGUAAUUACAUCAACAUCGUAGUCGCAACUCCAUCAUCGAAUUAAGGGCCAGCCUAAACAAGAUUGAGGAGUUGAAAGGAAGGAUAGAAGAGCUCGAGAAUGCACUGCGAAAUGGUAAACUUCGAGUUGAACUUCUUGAAGCAAGUAAUGAACAUUGUAAAGAACAACUCCACCGCUCUUAAGAUCAAAUCAGAGAUAGGGAUUAUGUCAUGGGUGAAGCUGUGGCUCAAGUACGAGAAGUGCUGACCAUCUACAAAACCUGGCGGUUCAGGCUAAUGUACUAAGUGUAAAGUAUGAGUUAGAAUCAGGUCAGGGCCGAGAGUUAGCUUGGCUUCUUAGGAAGGUUAAGGCUUUGGGCAUUAGGGCAAAGUCGUAUAUGUAAUCUAUCUUAUGUAAAGAAAUUUGUUUUCUAGCAAAGUUGUUCUAAUAAAAUUGAAUCAGAAUCAACGUCUCUUUUUGUUUUCAUUUCUUUAAUUUGCAUUACAUUUCAUCAUAUGCAUUAAGUUUCAUAAAAAGACCCUAAUUAAACAAAAUUAUUUCAGUUAAUCUGGAAACCAAAAAGUGUCAACCAGCCGAAUAUCGUUACAAUACCCGUCGCAAAACCAAAGCAAAGUAUCAGAGAUUAGAAAGAUUGGAACAAAUGCAAAGAGAUAUACAAUAGCAAUUGCAAACACAGAUGCAAGAGCAAUUGGCUAGAAUCGAACAAGACAUGAGGGAACAAAUGCAAGAAUCCCAGAAUAAUAUGAUAAGUCAAUUGGCACAGUUGCUGGUUAGAGAACGCGAAAAAGGGAAGGGUAUUGCAGUUAACUCGGGGAACGAUAAUGAAAACCUUGCCUAUCCCUCGGGUUUUGCUCCAGUCAAUUGCCAACCACAACCAGAGGCGUACCCACGGGGGGUACCACUCAUUAUCAAGCCCCAGUAAUAUCAGGCUGGUGCCUCGACACCGAUGAACUUUCCAACAGGCUCGGGCUCCAAUCCAAGGGAUAAUCCAACUAAUCCAGUUGUUUCUAACCUUGAUGAUGUAGCAGAAAUAGAAAAAGUAAGAGUAGAUCUACCAAAACAACUCGAGGACUGUUGCAAAUGGCUUGAAGAGAAAUUCAAAGCAAUGGAGACUGUUGACUACCAUUGCGGGGUUGAUGCCAAAGAUUUGAGCUUGGUCCUAGAUUUGAUCCUCCCACCAAAAUUUAAAACUCUAGAGUUUGAAAAAUACAACGAGACUAGCUGCCCCGAAGCCCACAUCACAUUAUUCUGUCAAAGGAUGACAGGAUACAUUAAUAAUGAUCAGUUAUUAAUUCACUACUUCCAGGAUAGUCUGGUUGGGUCUGCGGCCAAAUGGUACAACCAGCUAAGCCGUACCCAAAUUAAUUCAUGGAAAGACUUGGCACAAGCUUUCAUGAAGCAAUACGGCCACGUAACAGACAUAGCACCUAACCAAAUCACGUUACAAAAUAUGGAAAAGAAACCAAAUGAGAGCUUCAGGUAGUAUGCCUAAAGAUAGAGAGAGAUAGCGAUGCAAAUCCAACCACCUUUCUUA